rnacentral:lncRNA from 1 species
UAUAUUUACCGUCGCUCGUAGCGUGCGCCACUGCAGCGUUUCAUUUACUGCAUACGGCGAUAGCGUAUGCUUUAGAGUCAUCACUGCGGACAGCCUAAGGACCUCACUUCCAAAAUUAAUAAAUGCGCCUCUCACAAUUAUUAGACGAGUCACAUAUUUAACUAACAUUUCUUAUGUGUAACAAGUAUCGUUAAAUGACAUAGAAAUAUAUUUUUAUAUAACAGAUUUGUUUAGAGAUAUAAAUAUCGAUAGUAUAUUUAUACGUAUUUUAAAUCAAGAGUCUAAAAAAAAGACUGUAUGCUUGGAGUACAUACAUACAUGCGCAUUAUCAUGUGGUUCUUAACAAGGUCACAAGAUUGAGAACAACUGUAUGCAUGCCAUCGCCCAUUUAUCAGGCACGCCCGCAGCACAUCCCAGAACAAACAACAAUAAUAUCAGGCAGUACACGAGUAGUUCUUAGAACCCGCUGCUUCCCAUAUCACCAAUGACAGCUCAAUCAUAGAACCAAGCUAUGCCCAUCCUGUGUGCAACACAAAAUACAGCACGCAGAGGGCCCGUCUGGUUUCGCCGAUCACUACUGCCUCUGAAUGCCAUUUUGCUGCAUCGUUGGGGACCGCUGAAGUUUUUGCCUGGUCAGAGGCAGGGGCAUCUGACUGCAUAGGGUUCGCCAGUUAGGUUGUCUGUCUGGCUCUCCCCCUCAUCUGUCACCUCAUCCCUUUUGUGGCUAGCUUCUCUUCUCUUCUCCUCUCUUCUCCAUGGGAUUCAUCAUGGCUAGUGCAGCCGGCGAGGCCUAAUUGAUACACAGCCGCAGCGGUAAGGAUCAGCUGCGGGCUGCUGCUGCUCUAUCUUAUCUGCACGAGAAAUGCUUAGCGCUGAAAAUCUACCGGGGAUUACAUUAUUAUGCCACGCUUUACAUGCACAGUAGCUGCAGUAAACAGUAACUGCAUUGCACUAUUAGACACACAGUUGAAACACAAACAAACAAAAGGCAGGCAGGAUUCAUGGUUUCAGAAGGUAAUAAUCAUCACCGAAGGACAUUGUUUGCUUGCAUCAUGUAAAAAAGAAGAAUGAUGAGAGAAAGGUACUCCUAUUUCGUAUUGGACUAGUUAGUUAAUUGAGCUGCUGUAGGCUGUAGCAUUGCACAGCUGCAGUUAAGUCGCGCGUGUUGCCAAAGCAUGGUAGCCAGCUUUAUACAUAGAGAGAGGGAGAGAGAUAAAGAGCAGAAUCCGCACGAACAUUUCGCUCUCCGAUAACCGAUAUGUUCUUAGUAGAACCGUGAUUGGCAAAACUACAAAGUAGUUGGGAGGGGGGGUCAAAAAGAAGAGAGAAGGUGAAAAAAGGGGGCUAAAACUGACAACAAAAGCAGCAACAGCUAGCAACAAUCACCACCGAGGGGGGAAAUUAAAAAAAAACGAUGCCUGGCUUUCCCGCAUGCCAAAUCCGCACCCAUCACCAGGACACGUACGACGCCUUCUCCGCCGCCAGGGCUCCCCUCAAUCCGCUGAGCCGCUGGUCUGCACCACGACGACGGUAACGGCGACGGCGAGCUCGCUCCAUAGAGGCAAGAAGGACGGCGACUCAGAAGGCGAGGACGAAGGAGAGAGCUAGGUAGGGGUCACCGUCACCGGAGCGGCAGCAGGCGGACGGGGAGCGCGGAACGUCGUCGUGCGUCGCCGUCGCCGGCGACGGUGGCAUUGGCGCCCUCCUCGUCUUUCUUCAUGUCCCGCCGGGCGUCGGGGGCCGGGACGGAGACGGGGUGCUGCUGGUGGUGGCACCGAGAAAGCGCGUGUGUGUUUGCUUUGCGAGGGAUAGAGGAGGAGGAGACACUAGAGGCCGCUGGUGCGGUAGAUUAGGCUUUUAAACACACACACACAUACAACCUAGCGAGAGCCAAGAGGUCGCAUCGCACGAGCCAGGAUUUUCUGUGCCUGCGUACAUGUGCCGCGCGUUUAUAUAUCACGCACAGUAACCAUUCCAGACCAGAGACCAGAGACCACCAUGGGAACCAAGAAGCGGCAAAGCCCAAGACAGCGUUAGCAGGCCCUGGCCCACCGUGCACCGCACCACGCGCGGCUCAGGCCACGGCCCACGGAAGCCUUAACCUCCAAGCUCCGGGGGCCCACAGGCCACUCCGUCCGGCCGAUGGCCUAUGCGCGAUGGCGACGGCAUGGCGCACGCGGUCCGUCGUGCCCUCGUCUCGUGGUGGUGGCAUCACAACCGGUGGCCUGUGGAGUGUGGAGAUGCACGGGCUGCGGUGCAGGGAAACCGUCGUUCUCAGAUCCGUGUGUGAUAGAACAUGAUGUUGAGAAACCCUGAUAAAGGGUUAUGUGGGCAAAUACCGAAUAUGCUCCUGAGGUCGAUCACGUCUCUAUAUAUAGAACUUGUACCCCUCAUAUGGAAUAGAGAAGAGAAAGAGGUCAGAGGUCCAACCCUAUAUCAUGUGUCUCGUGUGUUACUCUAUCGUGCUUCUGGGAAGGGAGACGAGUUCUUUAUAGCUUCUCGCGCCUCUACUGCUGACGGGAGGAAAGGGAGCGGAUCUGGUGAUCCGUGGUGACGUAAUUCUCAACACGUUAUCAGCACGCUCUACCUCGACGUUACUGUGGGAUCAGAUCUGCGUCAACUCAUCGUCAAGCCGGCAGGUCCUGGCCUAGCCGAACUGUCCUACGCGAUAGCCCUCGAUUCCUUUACGUAAUCUAGUGGUAUGAAAUUUGAGAUUGGAUGUGUUAUUUACUUUCCGAUCUAUGUUCGCGGAGAAAAAUAUGCUGGAAAAGUGAGUGCAGCAGAUGCAUGCGUGCAUGCAGUGCUCCUUGAGCCUGUUUGGUUCAGCUUUUUUCUGACCAGCUUUUUCGAGAAUCUAGCUGUGGGAAAAAUUUGGCUGUGUAGAGAAUCUGCGUAUUAUUAGGAUUACGUGCAGAGGAAGAUAAAGUUGUCCAUAGGACUCACGAUCUAUAAAGUGAUGGAUUACUACUAUUGCGACGACACAACCGAUUAUAUGUUUAUGUUGAUUUUGAAUGGUUUUUACCCAAACGAAUUUUAUAGAAGCUGACUGAAAAGCUGAGUGUUUGGCAGUCCGCAGCAGCUUUUGGUGGCCAGAAGCUACGAAAAGCUGAAACAAACAGGGGCCUUGAUUGCCGAGUAAAAAAAGUGGGCCCCAUUUCUUUGACUAAGCGUGCGGCUGAGAAAAACAAAAAAAAGAAACGGUUGCAUGAUGUCCUGUAGCGGCGGAGAAAGCAGUUGAACCAUGCAUAUUUAUUGCCCCAUUAUAGGUCACGGUCAAAGCAGUUGUAUGCGUCCACUGCAUGGCUGCAUCUGCAUGCAAUACGAUCUGAAAAUGGCGGCUCAAUAGAAAACGAAAAAGUGGAUUAGAUGUAUUGUGCGCGCAGAAACAGAUUCGUGGAAGGAGAGAAAAAAAUAGGAUCUUAAUGUGCUUUACAAUUUUUUUUAUUAAUUGCGGUUGAAUUUAUACAUAUUUUAAUUUAUAUACAUGUGCCAUACUAUUUUAUUCUAUUUUCCUGCUGAAUAUAACAAAUAGAAUAAAAAUUUGUUUUACAUUGCAGUUUCUACCUUAAUCAAUUAUUUCCCGCAGUAAAUAAUUAGUAGAAAAAUGUAUGCUUGAAUAUGAGAAAAUGUCUUUCAUACACCUGAUCUGCUUAUGCUUUAAUUCUAGUAUUAUAUUUCUGCUUUAUUUCUCGUAGUAGAUAUUUAGCAGAAAAUUAUUAAAAUACAUGUAAAGACUAUAUGGUGUAUACGUGAAUCGCUCUAAAUAUUUAUGAUGUGUUGAGCUUUUGGACUCACGUCGAGCGAUUAAAUUGUAUAGUGGGUACUCAGACACGUCGAUCAGACUACGUUAUUAAUCGAUCGAGUUAUGACAUUGGCUGAGCACCACUGGCUGCGCCCUGGCAACAAGACGCAGUAUUUGUGUCGUACGAACUUGGCUGCGUCAUUUGAUUGCUAUGUCGCACUCUCGCUUAAUCGGACCACUCUCGUUGAGUCGGACCGCCAUCAUCGAGUCACAUAUUUUUCGCACGCCCUGUAGGCAUUGUUUGUCUGUUGUGAUCAUCGAGCCACAAUUGUGCCUAUUGCGCAUGUUUUAUGGACUUGUCAUGUACCCCGACUAUUGAGUCACAAUUGCGCCUGUUGCGCUUGUUACGAAAGCUUGUUGUGUUGUCGUAGCCCAGAUGGCCACACACGCGUUGACGCCAGAUACGCUAGAACUUGUACUCGCGUGGAUUGUGGUGGGUUGUUCAAGCCCCCUAAAGUCACAUUAUACACAACCUUCGUAAACAAUUUUGGUUGUCUAUAUAUUUUAUUUGAUUGUGUUGUGUGACAUCAUAUAUUUAUUUAUAUUGCCAAGUGGCCAUAACAGCUGUAUCAAGCUCUAUAGUGCUUGGAAAUCUGGGAAAUUAAAUCGAAAUACAAUGAAACACAGAAACACAGAAACACAGAUAAGUUAAAUCUUUGCUCUCUCCUCGUGCAUAAAGUUUUACCCCAAGUAACCUGAAGAAAUUCAAUAUUAAUGCAUGAAAGCCUUUUUGGCACAGAAAACAUCACAAAUUGGGAUUCUAUUAGUAAGCAAAAGGCCUUACCAAAUGAUUUAAGACUAUAAAUCUCAACCAUACAUUGCUCAACCAGAUGUUAGCACAUUACUCUCUUUGUCGCUAAAUGACAUGAAGCAAACUAUGAGAUAAAAGGACAUGUAAUCGCCAGCAACACGAAGUUGUGAGUAUACCGAGAGGUUAUUCUGAGAAAAAUUUCACUAUGUUGGUGUGAAAAAAAACCAUUGUGUGUUCCCGUCGAACCACUUUACUCGUCCUGUCUAGGACAUCUAUGCUUGUGUUGCAUACAUCUCUCAGAAUUAUAAAUACUUAUAGUCACUAAAUUGACUUGGCAUGGUCCUUUGAUUGGUAUGGUAUAACUUUAAGCUAAAUGGAAAGGUCAGUCCUAAAUGGGCAUAUACUUGGAGUUUAUGUAGCAGAACUAUAUUGAAUUCCACCCUUUGAAAUGCUUACCGUAAUAUAUCUCCGAUCUACCAGGAGUAAGAAGAGUAGAAAAUAGCCAUGAAAUCCCAUAUUACCACAGAGCUUGAAGUGAAAUUGGGCAUUAGUAUGUCAUUGGUCCUUGGCGCCGGAAGAUCCAUAAUUCUUGACCACUAAGCUAUUGGUGAUGGUAAUUUGUGAUAGAAAUAUGAAGAUCUUAUGGAGACCAGAUGUAUUCUCCAUUGUCUUGAUGACUACUUCGUAUGAGAUCAGUAUUAUCUGUUGUUGAAGACUAGUCCCAGACGGAUAUUGGUAUUUCUUUCGGUCUUGCCAAGCAGUUAUCACCAUUUGCUUAAUCGAAAGCUUAGCAAUCAGGUGGUUUUCCCCAGAUAAAACGAAUUCUUGGCCUUGUAUGUUCUAUUCCAAAGUUUCUCUUUUUUUGCUGAACAAUGAAGAGAUCGAAAUAAUGCUUUAUAGAACAAAUUGGUGUGUAAUAUGAGAAGAAAAGUUUGCCCUGUUGACAGCUUACACAACAAAUAUUUGAUUGUUGUUAUAAGUUCUCUCUCAAAAUUAUAAUACCUAAAAAUGUUGAAUAAAUCGAUACCCAAUUUCAGAAUGGUAUGAGUAAUUGGGUAACCCAUGGGCAAUGAUAAAAACGAGCUGGACUAUACAUCUCUGCAUAUAAAAAUCUCUGCUUGGCAGCAUUAGCCUGAUGCCGUGCACUUUACCACCAUUAUAUAUGCGUAAAUUCUCCUAUGUGCUUGAAAGCACAAUGCAACCAAUGAAUGUUCUUGUGAGCACUAGACCUGAUGGUCAUUGUCCUUGUUGAUCUGAAGUCAACUACUUGCUCCAAACGACAAAUGGUGUGCAUGAGCCCUAAAGUAUUUUGUUUUUAUGGCUAACAUAUUGUUGCGCGUAUCAGUCUAAAUCCUGAUGAUGGACUGUAUAUUUGGUGAUAAUAACAGUAAGUUUGCAGAAUUGUAACCACAAAGCGACUUGUUGUUGUGUGUCUUGCUGAAAGUUGAGACUAAUCCUUCACGUUGAAGGACAAAUAUGUAGUAUUCAUGCCACUACAUCAAUCUAAGUCCAAAGCUCACUGCAUAAAACCCCUAUUUGUAAUGUGCGUAAGAUUUCCCAAAUAAAUCACCACAAUAGCAUACAUUGGCCACAAACUAGAUGAUUGUGGUUGGAGAUUUUAUCUGUAUGCUUUUAGAACAUCUCGGCAUUAGGGGGAGGAAUGCCCAUAUAGUGUAAUGCCUCAAAUUCUAUUAAACGCACAAAAGCCAAACUGAACCCGUCGUUCGGAGUGUACUCCUGUGUAUAUGGAGUUUGCCAGAAAUCGUUGAGGAGUAACCAUAUUGGUUUGAAUGCUUCUACCUGAUGUAGAUGUGGAUAUACCCGGGAUUAAUAUCAUAUCCACAUUUGACUUAUUGGUAUUUGAUCUAUUCUCGGGGACGCCUGCGAAUAUGAUCCAUCAGCAUUAGUCAAAGCAUAUGUUCUAAUUGCAGAUUCACGUGGUCUGUGAUAACUCUCCUUCGAUUAAUUCACCUUGAUGGUGAUUUGCCUCACAAAGAGGUUCAUCUUGAUGAUGAAAUUCCUAGCAAUGCGCGCAAUAUCAUUGUGCCGGGAAUACGGAACAAUGAAUCUUUCAUUUUGGGAAAUGACGGAGAUCAUUAUUAAAUGUGGGAGACAAAUAUGUCGACACCUAUCUUGCCUCUUUAGAUUGCAAAGGGAUCCAAAACAAAGUCCUAGGCAUGAGUGCUUGAAGCUCUCUUAUCGGGUCAUUGAUAAAUGCAAUCGAGGCUGAACCAAUAAUCGCAAAAUGAAAGUCGCGAGCUUGAAGUUCGGACAUUUAUGGGCACUGUUGAAAUAAUGUGUGGUGAAUGCGAUGGUUCAAAUGGUCUUGUGAGAGACCCACCCCACAUAUGUGUUGAAUAAACACUGUUACACUGUGUAAUAUAUCUGACAAAUGGCAUGAAUUAAAAUAUGCAGUUAAUAGGAUUCUGAAGAUCCAUCAUGAGAUCCUAGGAGGACACAUAUCUUUGAAUUAUAAAUAUGCAACAUAUAAAUCUCGUACCGAAUAAUACAUUUCUGACGAAUGAACACUCUCCUAUGUAGAGAGAAUAUCUCCUAGAUGAGAUUAUAGUUCCUUAAUGGAACCUUUCCAGAAGAAAUAAAGUCUGUGUUAAACACCAAAGUUUGAUAAUCCCUAUAAAGGGAUAAAGACCCAUACAGACCCGAAAAGGAAUAAGAUGAGGUACCAAAGGACUUGAAGUUCACCGAAUAAGCACAUGUGCAUUCCAUGAGUUUUUACUCAUGGUAAUUUCCACUAGAUGUGGAAUUACGGUAUCCUCUAAAGCCCUGAUGGCAGAAACCUAUAAGGUUUAGGUGUUACUGGCAAAAUAUCCCUAUUGUGCCAGAAUGACAGACUAUAACGAUGUAUUUGAUCGAUGAAAAAUCCCUGAUGGAUUACGAUCUUUGAUGGACUUUUGUUACACCAUCAUAGAUGUUGCAAUAGAUGAACGCCUCGAGCGAUGUGUCAUAUUUAGAAUAUGUACUAUUGCAACUAUAUUAUCCCCUAAGUCCUAUUGAAGGACAUGUUAUUUGCUUUGCACAACUAUGUAUAAAUUGUGGUGUAAGAUAGAAAAUGAUAGCACCCCAACCUCAUCCAUUCUCGUUAUUCCAGAUGAACAAUGAGACAUAUAUCUUGAAGAAUAUGCUUGAGUUAUGAGGGAUAACGACUUUGACAGAUGUCAUCGUCAGGGGGGAGCGAAUGCUUAUAUUGAUCACAACCGUGAGACAAUAAAUGUUAUAUUCAAUGCCCUGAAGGCGUGAGCUUGAUGAUCAAUAUGUGAACCUUUAUGGAACUUUCUAUCAAAUAUAUAGAUUCAGUCGAUCGAACACCAUCAGUCAAAGUGGCUUAUUUAUAUUGAUACGUGCACUUACCUCGUAUAUCCUAGAAGUGAGUAGAGGUGAAGUUCCUGAUAUAAUCCUUGCAACAGUAUGCAAUUUGUUUGCUAAAUCUCUAUGUGUGUAUACUUCCAGAAGAUGUUGUGCCGUAUUGAUACGAUUUUGCAAGGAUCAGGGGAGCACAUUUCUAAAUUUAGCCCUUGUAGAAGAUUCGAUGGAAUCAUGAUCCAGAAGAUCGAAAUAUGUCCUGAUGACAGUUGUACUUUUUUUCCUUGAUGAGUUUUCCUGAAGUUUCUCACAUGAGGUUUUUAACGAGGCAACAAAGUGCAAAUGAAAUAUGCGUCACCAUGCGCUCUUUCUCCAUAUUUUCCCAUUGGUUUUUUUGGGAGCUUUAAUGAGGCAUGUGUUGGUCGCGGUAUUCGCCUAAGGGGGAGUGUUGAGAAACCCUAAUGAAGGGUUAUAUGGGCAAAUACCGAAUAUGCCCCUGAGGGCGAUCACGUAUCUAUAUAUAGAACUUGUACCCCUCAUAUGGAAUAGAGAAGAGAAAGAGGCCAGAGGCCCGACCCUAUAUCAUGUGUCUCGUGUGUUACUCUGUCGUGCUUCUGGGAAGGGAGACGGGUUCUUUAUAGCUUCUCGCGCCUCUACUGCUGACGGGAGGGAAGAGAGCGGAUCUGGUGAUCCAUGGUGACGUAAUUCUCAACACAUGAGAGCUUCAUGUAGCUUUGAGUUGUCGUCGUCUGUACAUAAGGCACCCAUGUUCAGAUAAUAAUCAGAUCUGUAUUGUAUCCAUGGCGCGCCCACACUGAUGCCCGACGGCAUGGCGCACGCGGCCUUCCCUCGUCGCGGUGGUGGUGGCCUGUGGAGUAUGGAGAUGCACGGGAUGCAGUGCAGGGAAACCUUCGUUUUUCAGAUAUGUAUGUGAUAGUCCUAUAUAGAAUGACACCAUAUAUAUGGUUUCCCAACACAAGUGCCUGCAAAGAACGUAGCAACAUUUCCAGGAUCUACAUGUGAAGCUCCUGUCACCAUACCGGCCUCCUGCGUCCUGCGGGCAAUUCAUCUGGCUUCAACAGCCAUCCAGUCUCGUCUCUCAAGUCAAAACUGAAACCGUCAAUCCUAGCAAACUGAAGACGUACGAUGUGCUGCAUGUCAGCUGUGGUAGACAUAGACCGACCACUUCGGCAGAUUUAAAAUGAAGUGGCAAGAGAUAUGUCAGGCCCCAUUUUCAGGCCAUCUCUAGUAUGAUAGCAUGAUCGGAACUUAAAACACCUUCCUAGACGGCGUCGCUAGAUAGUAAAAAACGCAAGCAAGUUUGUCAAAAUGUUAGGGAUGGCGAUGGGGAGAUGUUGGGCCAAGUGGGCCAUUAUUUGCGCACCCGCACCAGCAACAAUGCAAAACCCGUCCGGCCCCAAAAGUCCUUAUCGACGGAAACCCACACCUAGCCCUCAACUCUUAACAUGUAUGGAUGAAAAUGAAUCAUAUAUACAUACAUAGUCGUUUUCUAUAAUGCAUUUGUAUUUUAUAGUUUACCGCAGAGACUAUAUUGGGCUUCAUCGAAUACAAACUGAGAUUUAUUCUAGUUGGAGUCGGGUACCAGCGGAUCCAGGAUUUAAACACGGACUAGUCAAUGAUAAUACCUUUUUGACACGUAAUACUAUGUAUAAUUCAGUACUAUAUAUAUAUAGGGUAGGUAUAACGGGAGCCCUGGGCUUCGGAUAUUAAAGGAAGCCCAGGUCGGUUCCGAGGUCUGGUCGUUGGGACAGGCGCGCCUGUGUUUAACGUGGGGCUGAGAGGCGGCAUGCAGGACAGACGGCGCCGUUACGCGGUUGUUUGAAUGGCAAGGCGGUAAACAUAAGGGAAUGACGCGAAAUUAAAGGGAAUAGUUUCCACAUGCAAACGUGAUUACUAUGAUACGUGAGCGCGUAAUUUAUGGAUCUUGCAUGGGAAGUAAUGGCGGAAGGUAAAAAAAAAUGUAGCAUAAGAUGGUGAAAGCUAUGGCAUAAAACCGAAACGACAUAAUAGUUGCAUAAAUUGUAUAUACCGUUUGGCGUAAAACGUUGAGUCAUUGUGCGUAAAUAUUUUAUUAUGGAUUUUAGUUUGACAUUGACAUCGCCAUAAUAUCGGGACAGUUUCGGAAAUAAUGGGGAGACCCUGUAAACGUGGAUGCGGUUACUUUUAUAGUAUCCGAGAUUAACUUUCAUUCGAAAAAAGACCAUUAAGCCUGCAUAACUAAUCGGAGUUGGAGAUGGUCGGCUCUGGAGAGUCGCCGGCGAUGGAAGGAGAUGGCGUUCGUCUUGAUCCAGAGACAGAGGGAGGAGUUGGUGGUAACUCACUGGUGACACCACCUCCUGCUCUACUGGGUCCUGAGAUCGCCGAGAUGAGCAUAGGGGAAGAAGGAGAACGAAGGGUUUGACCUCCUAUGUCCAAUAUUAGCUCCAGGGAGAUGGAUACGCCACAAAUACUGCAUUCACCUGUAAGUCCAAUCGCUGUAUUUGAUUAUUGAUUGAAUAUAUUGUUGUGAACAUAUUCCAUGGUACAAACAACAAUGACAAUGAAAUAGCAGGCAAAAAACAUUGAUCCAACUAUAGUGCCAACGGUAGGGAUGACUUUCAAGGAUGUUGAUGAUGCAUAUAAAUUCUAUAAAAGGUAUGCAUAUGAAGUUGGAUUUCCACUGAAGAAAUACAGAGAGAAGACAUUCAGUAAGUGGAUAAGUUGUUCACGUGAAGGUAAAAGUGCACCAAAAUCAAAUGAUACACCUAGAAUGAGGAAUAGGUCAUCGGGGCGUACGCAAUGUAAAGCUGGAAUAAAAUUAAAAAAUAUAUAUGAUGAUGAAAAAAAUGGUUGUAGCUGCAAAAAUUGAACUGGUAAACUUGGAGCAUAACCAUGAGUUCAUAACUGACGAAGCAGAGAAACAACAUUUACGUUGCAACAAAAUUAGGGAUGCUGAGUUCAUAAAUUUUGUGGAUGCAAUGCAUGAUAGCCGAGUGCCGCAACAUUGCAUAGUUGAUUUUAUAUCAGAAAUGCAUGAUGGGCCGGAGAACGUACCGGUAACUGCUCAAGAUCUGAAAAACAUGUAAGCAAUACUUUUUUGUUACAUGUGUAUAUAUCAAGAGCCAUAAAUAUUACUAUAGUAAAUGUGUGUGUAAUAAUUUUUUGUGCAAACAAAUGUAGGAGGGCAGCCAGGAGAAGAGAAAACUGCGCAAAUGAUGUAGCCAAACUUUUGGCUUUCUUUAGAGAAUGCAAGAAACGGAAUCCACAAUUUUUUUGUGAUUUCCAGCUAGACAAUGAUGGGAAAAUAGUGAGUAUUUUUUGGUCACACGCAAGUAUGCAGGGGGAAUACGCAGAUUAUGGUGAUGCUGUGACAUUUGAUACAACACAUAAGACAAAUAUAUAUGAUAAACCACUGGGCAUGUUUGUUGGGGCUAACAGCCAUCUGCAGUGUACAGUGUUUGGAUUUAUUUUGUUGGGAGAUGAAACAGUACAGACUUUUGAAUGGGCUUUCAAUUCAUUCAAAACAUGUAUGGGAUGCGAGGGUCCAAGAGUUAUGCUUACAGGUAUGUGAUAUAUCAAUUUGUUAUGCAAAACAGUGAAUUAAUUUAUUGUAAAAAUAACUGAAUAAUUUGUGAGCAAUUGCAGAUCAAGAUCCUGCAAUGCCAAUUGCUCUAAGAACUGUAUUUCCAAAAACAGUUCACAGACUGUGUUUAUGGCAUGUACAAAACAAAUUUAUGUCAUUCCUAAAUGAGAUAUAUGCAAGGUUUGCUGUUAAUGAUUUUAAAACAACAUUCCAGUCUAUUAUACAUCAUCCAUUAACUCCUCAUGAGUUUGAAUGUGCCUGGGAAAUGAUGCUAGAGGAGUUCAAUCCUGAUGAAGAUAUGACUCUAUGCAAAUUAUAUGAAAUAAGAAAAGAAUGGAUACCUGCAUUUUUUAAAAAUGACUUCUGUGGGGUAAUGGUAUCUACACAACGAAGUGAGAGCAUGAACAGAUUAGUGAAGCAAUCACAUGUAGAUGCGAACACCCCACUGCAUGAGUUCGCUAAACAAAUGAUGAAAAUGUUGCACAACAGGAAAAUGAAAGAAUCAAAGGAGGCAUUGGUGAGCAAGGUAUGUCGUGCUUGUUAUCAAUAACGUUUGGCAUACAUUUAUGUAAAUAAUGUGUUUAAUUAUGAUAAUAAUGUGUUAUAGGGACCAAGGACAACAGAUACAUUAUAUAGGUUCGAAGUGAGAGUCUCUAGAGCAUACACCAGAGCUGUUAUGAAUAAAUUUGAGGAAUCAAUGAAAUACGCCACUGCAUACAAAAUAUUAAAGGACCCAGACGGAUGUGAUAAUGAAUGGAUCGUACAGCAUACAAAAAGGUCUAAUAAAAUUGUGUGGGGACAACAUCAAUUCAAGAUAACAGCGGACAUAGAAGCUGGGGAGUAUACAUGCGAGUGCAAACAGUGGGAACAUACAGGUUUGUACGUAUUAUGUUGAUUAGGAGAAUAAAUUUGCAUACUAAAGAAUUUGAUGAUUGUAGUACAAAUUAAUGUAUAUCUUUGAAAAAAAUGGUUCGUUUUCAUGUUUUUCAGGUCUAUUGUGUGUUCAUCUUUUAAGAGCCUUCAUGCAUCUUCAAGUUGAAAAGAUACCUUCAAAAUAUAUAUUGCAAAGAUACACUGUCUCAUCAAGAAAAGAUGUUCCAUUUGAAAGAAUUGAUAAGAGCUUCAGGGGAAGGAUGGAGUUACUAAAUCAUACAGACAGAAAAUGUUGUUAACGAAAACAAUGAAAGUAGUUCGCCAGGCGUGUAUGUCAAAAGCAGGGUACGUUAAGGCGAUGGAUGUGUUGGAUGAGCUCGAUGUCGUUCUAAGCCGAUUAGAGCCAGAUAUUGGAUGUAAUGAGUCAACAGAUGUUAGUGAUGACGAGGAAGACAAGGUAAUAAUAUUCCAGAUGUUUUUAGUGUUAUACUAUUUGUAACAUAAAUUAUGCAUAGUAACAUGUUAUUUGUACCAGGAAGAAGAGUUGAAUAAAAAUAAUGCUGGCGAUGGGAUGGAAGAUGACAAUACAAUUACAUGCCAUAACAAGGUAUGUAAAAGAUAAAUAUAUAAGCUUGCAUGAAGUAUUGUACAUAAUGAAUAUAUAAAAUCAAUGUAAUAAGCAAAUUUUAUUUUGUAGGAUGAGCAUAACACCAUGACUGGAUGUGAACAUGUGUUAACAAUAAUAACAACUGGUAACCAGGUACAUAUUAAAAUAAUAUUGUUCAUUUGUCUAAAAUGAAAAAAUAUAUAUAUGUUGCAUGUAAAUGUUGAUGUAUUUGGGUUGGGCUCUAAAGGAGGACAACAUGAGAAUUUCACAUGAGGUUGGUGAUACAAGUUCUCCGUGUCACGUAGCACAUGAACAAAUGGAACAUAUUGCUGCAUCCUCAGAAGCUAAAAAGGUGAGCAUUGAUAAAUGAUUUUACUAAUUGGUAUAAAUAUAUGUAAAUAUACGUAUACUAAAUAUUAACUUCUAUUAUUAUGCAGAGGUUGAAUUUUAAUGUGGAUGUUAUAAAUCUGAGUAUGUCGGAUCGUGCAAGACCAAAAGGACGGACAAUCAAAAAUUCAGAAGAUAGGAUUAUGAGACUAGGUGCGAAAGGAGAGAAAAAGAAGAAUAGGAGAUGUCAAUUGUGUGGUAUAGCAGAUGGGCAUAACAGCAGAACAUGUCUGUCUGUGGAAGAGAACAGGGCAAGGCUAGCAAAACUGGCUAAUCGAAAGAGAGGACGACCAGCCGGAUCAAGACUAAACAAUAAAACAACUGCUCCACAGUGGAUUGAAACAUCGACUGCUAAAAAACAUCGUAUUGAUGAAGAAGUGGAAAAUGAAGAAGCCGAUGAGCAUAUGGAAUUGGGCGAAUAAUUUGAAGUGUGACUAAAGAGUGGUCGAUUUAGUAGAAACUUGUAAUAGCACAUUGACUUAUGCUUUAGUUUGUUGGAAAUUAAAUAGUUUGCAUGACAGGGUUAUAUAAUUCGUUGAUAUAAAACUAUAAAAUGUUGCGUAAAUAUAGACAAUUACACAAAUUAUGUAACUGAAUAUGUACAACAAAUUGGCAUUGAACGUUUAGCAAUCGGAAGGUCUGGACAUAAAUGGUAUAUAAAACUGUAUACACUUAACAAUACUAAUCAAAUGGGAGUACAUACGUCGGUUUCGCACUUCAGAUACACCAAACAGGAUAUAGCAUAACAACUUGUUACAAUUAGCAUAAGUAGCAUGGAAAAUGUAUAAAAGAUAAACCUAGUGUAUAUAAAAUAAGGAAGUAUAUAUUAUGCAUAAAACUUGAAUAUUAAAACAAUAUGAUAAUACAAAUACGCCAAACAUUGGAAGCAAAACGAUUAACCAUCUCACAAUCUGGAGAUGAAACAACAUAGAAUUUCUUAACAGAUAACAUAAGUAGACAUUCUGGUAACAUAUAUGUUUGACACACUUCAAAUAAAAACUGAUGCGAAGUAGCAUAGACAUUGGACACAUCGAACAUAAGUGGCACAUGGAGUAUCAAACACAUGAUCAGAGGCCUGACAUAAGUGACUUAACAAGUAACAUAAACAAUUUUGUGGGUCCCAUAGGGAAUCAUGUUCAGCUAUGAUAUCUAAGUCUUGGCUUUCAAACAACGGCGUCUCCUUGGAACAUACUUGAAAGGCAGCAGUUCUGCAGGAAGGGGGGCAACCCUGUUGUUGCGAUGAAAGGUCAGGUAAUGCAGAACAAAGGCACGUUGGUCCAAUGGUUCAUCCUGAAAUAGUCAUAAUAUCAAAUUAAUGCUAGGAUUAAAUCUGAAGGAGUAAUAUAUGCAAUAUCAGAACACUAAUUUAGUAACAUACCGGAGUAUAAAAUUCUGAUAAGUCGCCAUCAUCAAAAUCGUAGUAGCGGAGGAAGUUUGCGACAAAAAAACCACAAUCAUUUGACCCUGGUGUCAUGGUUGGACAAUUGGGAAGAAGCCCAAUCUUGUAGUUGCCAAACUUUGGUAUAGUUGACUCAGGUCGAGCUUCAUGUAAGGCAAUGCUAAGUCUUCUCAUUAUUAAUCUGGACCAAGGUAUCUUCGUUCCAUUUAUCAUCAUUUGAUCAUUAUGGAUUUGUUUCCAUGUAGUGCCUCCAAGCAAUGUACCAUAAGGAUUUGAAUCUAAGAUGUCUAUUCGACGACGUUCAAAGUUGAUUGCAUAAAGGGUCCAGUGGCUACGGCGUAGCAUAGGAACCAGGAUCUGUUAAAUAUAUAUGUAAAUUUAUGAAGGAUUAAUACUAUGCAUAUGAAAAAUUAAAGCUAAUACAACAUAAAACUAAUGACCAAAAGAACAUUAUAACAUUAUUACAAAUGAAACUGAUUGGGGCUCACCAAUUUAAUUUGGUUCAGAACUUCAUCUGAAGGAAGCGUCGGUUCAAGUUGUUCUUUAAGAAGUGAUGUUGAGAAGGGCUAUGGAUUUGAACUGUGCUGUUCGAACUCCUCGAUAUUCAAAACAGUCUGGACAAAAAAAAUAAAUUGAUUAGUAUUAUAUAUUUAUACAGUAAGUGUUGCAAUAAGAUACAAAGUUGUGGAGAAAAAAUUACCCCAACAUUGACAUUCAGUAUUAGAGUGUUGAUUACAGAAUCUGGAUUGUAUAAUACAUCAUCCUCAUGAAUACAGUCGAUAAAUCCCUGCAUGAAAGUAUUCUCAAGACAUUUAUUGGGACCAAACGACUGGACAACAUCGAGGACAGAACCUCCAAAUCCUCCAAAAUUAAUGAUAGACCUGGGAAAAAAUAAAACUUUAUUUACAAUUCAUCUAAUUAUACUUAAUUGGAAUUUGAAUAACUAAUACAUACAUGCUCAGAUCUAGUUUUCCUGACAAAAUGAACUUAAGUAGGUUGCGAGCACAGUCUUCACGUGACACGUGGGGAGGUUCAGCGACUGCAGCUUUAGAGGAACUAUCCUUUGCAACAAGGUCAGUAGUUGCCUAAUAUAUGAAUAUAUGUUAGUAAACAAUUGCAUAAAGAUGUAUGUCUUAGUGUAUAUAUAGGAAAAAUAUGAGAAUAUAUGACAUGUCUUACAUCUGCCAGUGGGGUUUUAUCGAACUGAGGUGCACCAGAUACAGGAAUAUCAUGUGUAACAGAUUUUUGUCCUUCCUGUAACCAAUAAAAUUAUUAAUAUAAACGUGAUGAAACAUAGGUUAUAAUUAAUAUUAGCAUACUUUCAUGAAGGUGUAAAUACUUACACUAUUUAUAUCUGGUGUUAACUCAGGAGCAGCAGGCUUGUCUGUUGUGGGAGCCUGGUGAAUUAAAAAAAUAAAGCAUGCAUAUAUAUUAAUGUUACUUGCAUACAUUGUAAAUGAAAUAAUAAUAAUUGUGAUAUAAGGAAGUCAAACAUUUGAUUUUGGAGUCUUGUCAAAUAUAGGGGCAUCCAUAAUUUCAUCUUUUUUGCAGACGUUCCCACUGACAAUCUGUAAUGGAAACAACUGAGAUUUGAGUAAACAGUAACUUGUAUGCAAAAUAUAAUAUAUGCAUUGUAUAUAUAGUUUGUAUGAGAAAACUUACAUCAUCUGAUACUUUGAUAUGAUCAGUAGGAACAUGGAUUUCCUGAUCAUGUUGCUGUUUAUCAGGUGUUGGAACAGGUGGUGAGGAUACUGGAGCAUUUGUUGGAGGCAUUGAGGUAGUGGGGGGGGGGGGUUAUCUACAUUUGGAACAUAUAAUAAUAUAGUAGUUGUUACUGAAAUAUAACUGCAAUAUAAAUGUAUCGUUAUAAAAAAAUGGUUAAACAUACACAUUUGCAAACUACAUCAAUAUACUAUCAGGAUGCAUAAAUAAAAUACAGUUUUCAAAAAUGAAAUCAACUGAAAAAUAUGUUGCUACUUGUAUGAGUAUAAAUUAAUGCAUGAGUUGUAUAUACAAAACUGCAUAUAAUAAAUUAUCUGAGAUCGUAUAACUAUAUAUAAUUUUCCAGGCAAUAAUUCGUGAACUUGAUCAGUUUAAAAAAAUAAACAUAAAUACUAAAACCUUCUUGCUGUGAAUCGCGCUGCGUUGCAGCUCUCAGUAGUUCAUCGAUCAUUUCACCAAAUGUUUCAGAGAGUUUAAUCUGCUUCGAAACAAUCAUCUGAUGGCUCAGCUGAAGGGAAUCACAGUACUUAUCCACCUCUUUGUCAUGAGCAUCAAACAUUGAUUGAAACAUUGGCCGAUGCUGGGAGGGCAAACAUUGCAACUUGUUGCCAAUCAAAUUCUUGAUACGUGGCACAUAUAUGUUGAAAACGACAGAAACAUGCCGUUCUGGAGCAAUGACGUAACACGUUUCUGAACGGCUACGAAACUAUAUAAAGUCAGAUAGAACAGUUAGCAGUAAUAAUAUUUUAACAUCUGCAUAACAGGACAAAAAUUGUUUAUGUCUAACCUCUGCAUAUCCGAAUGGUUCACCAGUUUUACGGGGGGGGGGGGGGGGGGCGUCUGUCACCCCGAGCCAACUCUCUUAUGGUCUCAUUAUCAAAAAACUUAAUGCGUGGAGUACCAUAUUUGUUAUCAGGAGAUGCAGCGUGAUGUAGGUGAUCAAGAUAGUAAAUCUGAAAAAAGGAAUGCACAAAUAUAUAAAAUUAAUACAUAACAAAUAUUUGCAUAUCAUAUAUAUGCACAGUAAACAAAAAAAUUACUUACUAGAACAAUGAGUGAGCAUCCAUAUAUUGUUGCUGUGAUGUUUGUUUUGUUCCUUUUAUGCCAACGUGCGGCAGCAUCACACAAAUCCGUGUAAACUAGUUGACACCAGUCAAUAUCAGCCAUUCGGGCCAUGUUUGAAGUCAUGAGUACCUCAUUGUUUGUAAUGCCCCAAGAAGCAGAAGGAAAAAGAAGUCGAUUGAAUAGAAUCAGAAAAAAGCAUCUAAUUGAUAGCUCAUCAUCAUUGCCAAGCACUAUCUUGUCUUGAAGCUUGACAACAUCAAAUUCUUCUUUACCAACAUUGAGAUCACGUCUCAGUUUUGCAGCAGCAUCCACUUCACCGUACCAAUCAGUAAACUCCUUGCCUCCUCCAGCACAUGGCAAACCCAAAAUCAGAUGAACCGUAUCUUUUGUUAUCUUCACUUCCUUGCCAGCCCCUCGGCGUAUGGUCAUUUCAUGUGGAUCCAAUUUAUCCAUCAACCACCUGAUGAGUGAUCUGCUCUCUAAGGCAUCAGUUCGCAAAUCAAAUAUACUAGAAAAUCCCAACCUAGCGACAGCAUCCGCUGCCGAUCGCUCAUUAUCCAAGAUGAUACAAUAACAUCAUAGGGAAUGCAGCGAAUAUUCAAUUUCUGGAAGCAUAAAUGAAUAUGCAUUAAUACACAAAGUAUAUAUAUAGUUAGAACUAAUGAUACUAUAUUUACAUACAAGGGAUAUUUAUUACAGGCUUGUAAAUAACUAGUCUACAACACUAAAAAAGUAAACACCAUAUUUGUUGAUAAUAAUAUACAUAAAUUUAAAGUGAGGGAAAAUACAAAAUUGAUUGGGCACCAAAAUUAACACAUGAAUAAACAUAAAUAUAUACAUAUUACCUGUGAUUUUCUAGGAGUCUUCUGUUUAGGAGAGUUUUUUUUUGUAAUGAUGUUAGACUUUGGACUUCUUUUCACGCUCGAAACUUGAGGAGAAGGUACUUUUAACUUCUUUGCACUGAUUUGUUCUGAAGGAGAAGGUGAGGCAGAUCUGAAUUGGCGCUUCAACGAUGGAGCAUCCGUGAAUUCGUCGUCGGACAGUGUGGAUGGAGUAGGAGGUUUUCUUUUUAAACGACAAGCUAAAGCCUUUCUGCGAAAACGAUGGAUUGGGGCUGGUUGUGACUCAUUCUGCUCCUGAUUUUGUGGAAUAUCAUCUUGGUGAGCUGAGCUGCUGGAUCUUGUACAUCUAGAAAUGUCAAUUGAAAAAACCUCCUGACUGGAUUCAAUGGUUAAUCUUUUUGGAUUACUGGGCGGGCGAUCAACAGACUUCAUGAUUAAAUACUGAAUAAAUCUGUAGAAAAAGAAGUUGUUUUUAAAUACAUUGAUUUAUGCAUGAAUAUAUGCCAAAAAGAACUAAUUUUUACUAUAACUAUCUGAAAUGCAUACUAUAUAAUGCUAAAUGGAAUUACAUAACUUAAACUACCUUUUACAUUUAUGCGAGAGCAUUUAAUGAACAAUGGUUAUAUACAAACAUAAAGAUUGAUUUAAUAUUUCAUAUAAUUGUAAAUGGAUCAUGAUAAAAUAAGAGCUUUUUUGAAUCAACUAACUAUACAACAUAUUUUAAUAACUGGUUCAUAGUAAUAAAAACAUUUAGCUCAUAUUCAAACAUGAAUAUUUAAAUAACUUUUGCUUAAAUAACAGUAUCUGUAUGUAUUUAUAUAUAAUGAACAGGAGUGUAAACUAAUUAUUCAAGUAAAUAGAACAAUGCAAAUAUGCUUUUUGUAUUGCGAAAUGUUCAUAAACUUGUGUAUGAAUGAGCAUACACAUUACUACCAAUAUGCAUAUAUAUCAAAUCCAAUGAGUAUAUUUUAUAUAUAAUAAAACAGAUGUGUACACAAAUGAUUUAAGUGAAUGGGCAUAAAAAGUACUGAGGAUAUGCAUAUAUAUGAAAUACAAUAAGCAUAUUAGAUAAUAAAAUAGAUGUGAAAACAAAUCAUUAGAGUAAAUGUGCAUAAAGAAUACUGACUAUAUGCAUAUAUAAUAAAACAAAUGUGUAAACAAAUGACUCAAGUGAAUGUGCAUAAACAGUACUGAGGAUAUGCAUAUAUAUCAAAUACAAAUAAGCAUAUUUGAUAAUAAAAUAGAUGUGAAAACAAAUCAUUAAAGUAAAUGUGCAUAAAGAGUACUGACUAUAUGCAUAUAUAAUAAAACAAAUGUGUAAACAAAUGACUCAAGUGAAUGUGCAUAAACAGUACUGAAGAUAUGCAUAUAUAUUAAAUACAAAAAGCAUAUAUGUGUUACUUGGGUUGUGUAAGAGUACUCUCUGCUAACUCAUCAGUAAAUACCUAAUCCACAACCUUUGUCUAGAUCUAUGAAUGUCGGGCGAUAGUGGGGAUAUAGAAUAAAUACAUAUGCUCUAAUAUCGGGGCUCCUGAACAAAAAAGAGAUGCAAUGCGUGAUGCAAUGACCCGAUUAGAGAGAUGUCUAAACGGAUACAAAUCACACAUUUAGCUGGAGAAUAAGGGUUACAAUCAAAUCCACUUCAAUCGACCGAAAUGCUUCAAAAAAUCGACGACAAACUCGGUGUAUUUCAAUGUUGGAUUACCUGGAACUUCUUGAAUCGGGCUCCAAUGCUGGGAGAUUGAAGGAUGUAAGCUGGAAUGGAACGGCGCUGGAUUGGAGCGGCGGUGGAUUGGCGCUGCGCUGGCUUGGAGGCGCGGAAAUCGCCUGGCGAGUCGCCUCCGACGAAAGGAAAGUCUGCGCGGCUGGGGUUUUCUUCCUAUCGGCGCUGGUUUGCCUCCGUUGAUUGCGCGAAUACGGUUUUAGAAACAGGAAACGUGGGAGAGGUGGCUGGCUGACGGAGGAAACUGUGUAACGGCGCCGUGACUGGGACCUAUAUGACCCGGUGUGGUUCAACCAAAAUGCCCAUAUUAACUAGCCUGGGCUUCCUCUAUUAUUGGAAGCCCAGGGCUCUUAAUAUAUAAACUAUAUAUAUAUAUAUAUAUAUAUAUAUAUAUAUAUAUAUAUAUAUAUAUAUAUAUAUAUAUAUAUAUAUAUAUAUAUAAUUUCUAUUAUUUUGGUACAUGAACCGAAAAUAACUAAAAUGUCUUAUAACACAUUUAAUUUAUUUAUUAGGUCGCAAGUUAUAUACAUUUAUUUAUUUAAACCUAUUGAGAACUACGUUACCACGGAUCACCAGAUUCGCUCCCUUCCCUCCCGUCAGCAGAUUAGGCGCAAGAAGCUGUAGAGAACCCGUCUCCCUUUUCAUGAGCACGACAGAGGAAACACACGAGACACAGGAUAUAGGGUUGGGCCCCUGGCCUUUUUCUGAUCUAUAUUCCAUAUGAGGGGAUACAAGUUCUAUAUAUAGAGAUGUGAUAGCACUCAGGGGCAUAUUCGGUAUUUGCCCACAUAACCCUUCAUUAGGGUUUCUCAACACUCUCCCUUGGGCGAAUACCGCGACCAACACAUGCCUCAUUAAAACUCCCAAAAAACUGAGUGGGAAAAUAUGGAGAAAGAGUACAUGGUGACGCAAAUUGCAUUUGCACUUUGUUGCCUCGUUGAAAACCUCAUGUGAGAAACUUCAGGAAAACUCACCAAGGAAAAUGAGUACAACAACUGUCAUCAGGACAUAUUUCGAUCCUCUAGAUCUAGAUUCCAUUGAAUCUUCUGUAAAGGCAAACUUUAGAAAUGUGCUCCCCUAAUCCUUGCAAAACUGUCUUUGUAUGACAAAAUAACUUCUUCUGGAAGUAUAUGCAGUUAUGCACAUAUUGAUUUAGCAAACAGAUUGCAUAAUGUUGUAAGGAUUAUAUCAGGAGCUUCACCUCUACUCACUUCUAGGAUAUACGAGGUAAGUGCACGUAUCAACAUAAAUAAGCCACAUUGACUGGUGGUGUUCGAUCGACUGGAUCUAUAUAUUUGAUAGAAACUUCCAUAAAGGUUCAUAUAUUGAUCAUCAACCUGACGCCUUCAGGGCAUAGAAUAUGACAUUUAUUGUCUCACGAUUGUGAUCAAUAUAAGCAUUCGCUCCCCCUGACGAUGACAUCUGUCAAAGUCAUUAUCCCUCAUAGCUCAAGCAUAUUCUUCAAGAUAUAUAUCUCAUUGUUCAUCUAGAAUAACGAGAAUGGAUGAGGUUGGGUGAUAUCAUUUUCUAUCUUACACCACAAUUUAUACAUAGUUGUGCAAAGCAAGUAACAUGUCCUUCUAUAGGACUUAGGGGAUAAUAUAGUUGCAAUAGUAUAUAUUCUAAAUAUGACACAUCACUCCAGGCAUUCAUCCAUUGCAACAUCUAUGAUGGUGUAAUAAAAGUCCAUCAAAGGUCAUAAUCUAUCAGGGACUUUUCAUCGAUCAGAUACAUCGUUAUAGUCUAUCAUUCUAGCACAAUGGGGAUAUUUUGCCAGUAACACCUAAACAUUAUAGGUUUCUGCCAUCGGAGCUUUAGAGGAUACCAUAAUUCCACAUCUAGUGAAAAAUGCCAUGAGUAAAGAUCGUGGAAUGCACAUGUGCUUAUUCGGUGAACUUCAGGUCCUUUGGUACCUCAUCUUAUAUCUUUUCGGGUCUGUAUGGGUCUUUAUCCCUUUAUAGGGAUUAUCAAACUUUAGUGUUUAACACAGACUUUAUUUCUUCUAGAAAGGUUCCAUCAAGGAACUAUAAUCUCAUGUAGGAGAUAUUCUCCCUACAUAAGAGUGUGUUCAUUCGUCUGUAAUGUAUUAUUCGGUACGAGAUUUAUAUGUUGCAUAUGUAUAAUUCAAAGAUAUGAGUCCUCCUAGGAUCUCAUGACGGAUCUUCAGAAUCCUAUUAACUGCAUAUUUUAAUUCAUGCCAUUUGCCAGAUAUAUUACAUAGCGGAACAAUGUUUAUUCAACACAUAUGUGGGAUGAGUCUCUUACAAGACCACUUGAACCAUCACAUUCACCACACAUUAUUUUAAUAGUGCCCAUAAAUGUCCGAACUUCAAGCUCGUGACUUUCAUUUUGCGAUUAUUGGUUCAAGCUCGAUUGCAUUUAUCAUUGACCCGAUAAGAGAGCUUAAAGCACUCAUGACUAGGACUUUGUUUUGGAUCCCUUUGCAAUCUAUAGAGGCAAGAUAGGUGUCGACACAUUUAUCUCCCAUAUUUAAUAAUGAUCUUCGUCAUUUCCUAAAAACAAAAGAUUCAUUGUUCCAUAUUCCCAGCACAAUGAUAUUGCGCGCAUUGCUAGGAACUUCAUCAUCAAGAUAAACCUCUUGGUGAGGCAAAUCACCAGCAGGGCGAGUUCAUCGGAGGAGAGUUAUUAUAGACCACGUGAAUCUACAAUCAGAACAUAUGCUUUAACUAAGACCGAUGGAUCAUAUUCGCAGGCGUCCCCGAGAAUAGAUCAAAUGCCAAUAAGUCAAAUGUGGAUAUGAUAUUAAUCCCGGGUAUAUCCACAUCUACAUCAGGUAGAAGCAUUCAAACCAAUAUGGUUACUCCUCAACGAUUUCUGGCAAACUCCAUAUACACAGGAGUACACACCGAACGAUAGGUUCAGUUUGGCUUUUGUGCGUUUAAUAGAAUAUUGAGGCAUUACGCUAUAUGGCCAUUCUUCCCCCUAAUGCCGAGAUGUUCUAAAAGCAUACAGGUAAAAUCCCCAACCACAAUCAUCCAGUUGUGGACAAUGUAUGCUAUUGUGGUGAUUAAUUUGGAAAAUCUUACGCACAUUACAGAUAGGGGUUUUAUGCAGUGAGCUUUAGACUUAGAGUAAUGUAGUGGCAUGAAUACUACAUAUUUGUCCUUCAAUAUGAAGGGUUAGUCUCAACAUUCAGCGAGACACGCAACAACAAGUUGCUUCGUGGUUACAAUUCUGCAAACUUAUUGUUAUUAUUACCAAAUGUACAAUCAUUAAGAUUUAGACUGAUAUACGCAACACUAUUUUAUCCAUAAGGGUCCUUCAGGGGCUCAUGCAUACCAUUCGUCGUUUGGAGCUAGUAGUUGACUUCAGAUCAACAAGUAAAAUGACCAUCAGGGUCUAGCGCUCACAAGAACAGUCACUGGUUGCAUUGUGCUUUUAAGGACAUAGGAAAAAUGUGUGCAGCUAAUGGUAGUAAAGUGCACGGCAUUAGGCCAAUGCUGCCAAGCAAAUAUUUUUGGUAUGCAGAGAUGUAUAGUCCAACUCGUUUUACCAUUGCUCAUGGUUUACCCAAUUACUCAUACCAGUCUGAAAUUGGGUUCCAAGUUAUGCAACAUUUUUUAGGUAUUAUAAUUUUGAGAGAGAACUUAUAACAACAGUCAAAUAUUUGUUGUGUAGGCUACCAACACUACACGACGAUUGAUGUUUAGCGACCCUUAUUAGGUACCAACUGUUGGUUGCUAAAGGUUAGGGACCGACGGUCAGUCGCUAAAUCCUUUUAUAGCAACGAUCGGUUGGUCGCUAAAAGUCUAGAAAUUUAACAACUUAUGGUUGGUCGCUAUAGAUGUCGUCGGGGACUAGCGGUGGGUCGCUAUAGAGCAAGGAUCACUAUCAAAUCUUAUAGCCUGAACGUACCUGUAGAUGUUAGUGACUAAAAAUUAAUUAAAACAAGUAAACAUUGAUCGCUAAAUUGCGUGGUAAUUUAUUUCUUUUUAAUAUUGCUUGUAUGUUUAUUUCAUGGUUUGUUUAUGUAUGGACAUGACUAUAGUAUGCAAAUGUGUUCUUUGUGCUUAUAUGAUAUUAUAUUCGAGUUGAAAGUCGUUUCAAAUCCUACAUAAAGAGUAUGGAUAAACCAUGGAUCACAAGUGAAUGGUUUUCUAGGGAGACAAAGGUUUAUAAACAAGGAGUGAAUGGUUUUCUAGCUUUUUCAUUUAGAAAUAAUUUAUUCAAAUGUUUACAUAAAAGAGUUGCAUUCGUAAUAAUUUAUUCAAAUGUUUAUUAUUUAUUUGGUAAAAUUUUUAUGAUUUUUUGAGUAAUUUAAAAAUGCAUUUCCAAAUAAAUAAAAAAAGAAAAUCCUCCCUAACCCUAAGGCCCACUAGGGGCCCAUCUAUCUAACCUAGCAGUCGCGCGCUCCCUUCUCUCCCAGCCGCAGUCGUCGCCUCUAUCUCUCCCUUCCCUCUUCUCUCUGCCCUCAACUCUCUCCUCCCUUCCCUCAGCUCGGCGCCCAGGCCGGCCAAGCCCCGCGGAGCAACCAUGGCGGCGGCCUCCCGUCGAGCAACCAUGGUGGCAGCGGCCUCCCGUCGAGCAACCAUGGCGGCGACGGCGGUAACCCUCCUCCGCCUUCCUCUCGCCCGACUCUCCUACCACCUCCGCUCCGUAGAGGAGGAAUCUGCGGCCAAGGCGGAGGCGCCUAGGUCGUUCGUGCUCCCACAGUUGCCGUGGCCGAAGCUGAGCGUGAAGGAAGAUGUGUGCCCGCAGUACUACGAGCUUGGUCGAUAUACAUAGUCACAGCCACGCAUUAUGACCGCAAGCUAUAAUCGUUGCAUAUUUCAAUAUUGUUUCAUUCUGACGUUGGUUGCAAUGGAACAUACACGUCUCUGUGCGUUUGGAACCAUACAUCUAUCUAAUCGUUGCAUCAUCUCUUGUAGUGGAAGCACAAUUGUUGGUAUUGGUUCACCGGAUCCUCCUGCAUUCGUGUAUGACGAUGAAGACUACAAUGAUGUUUUUGUGUCAGGUAUGGCUCCAUUGUUCUGCUGCACAUCAUUUUCAUUUCUGUGCAGUAAAGAAGGAUCCAUAGUUGAAUUGCCCAACACAUAAUACAAGCUGAAGUGCUUAGAGUGUGGUUGUGAACCUAAACAGAUGUAAAGUUUGGUGCCGUCAUUCUGAAGGGUUGAUAUCUUUGUGUGCAGAGGCUUGCUUGCUCACUCGCGACGAGAACGAGUGGUACAGGGAACCAAUCUCGACCAAUGCCACGUCUGGCAAAGAAGGUUUGCAAGCCUCAGUUGCUGACUGAUUAAGUCAGGUUCUGUAUCAGUUCCUGUGACUAUACAGAUACAGAAUUUGAUCAACGCCUCGACAUGGUAGGAAAGAACACUACGGUAUUGGCGAGGAUUGUUCACAAGACAAUCUGGUUCUGAAAUGGACCAUUUUCAUUAUACCAUGCCGCUAGUUUUCUUGUCGACCUCGCACCAUAGCCAUCUUAACAGUGAUGUCUAAUCCUCACAAUCAGCUCAUCGGAAACUAAAGCUUUGUUAUACCGUUGCAACACAUACACACAAUCCUAGUAUAUUCAAUUGGUGGCAGUAUGCUUGUGUAUCUUUGCUACAGAGUUUGCAUUUAUUCCCACACACACACUUGCAAGCUUGAUAUAUAGAAAAUAAUGGUUUUCCUUGUUUAUUUUUUUCUUGUGGUCCAUAAUGCCCAAGUUGCUUCAUGCAUUUAAAGACUUAAUUUAUAAACUAUCUACGCCGUGUCAUACUGUCAUUCAAAAUGAUUAUUUAGAGUUAGAAUCAGGUUAACACCAGCGAAAUAAUGAAGUUUUCUUCUACAAUGGCCAAUGUGCUAAGAAACCACACUGCAUUGGCACAAGUGACUAUUGAAGACCAUCCUCACUUAUUGGCUGGGAAGCAUGCAUCAGUGCACCCAUGCAAACAUGCAACUGUGAUGAAAAAGAUCAUCGACGUUCCAAUGUCGGGGUGAGUGGAACCAGAAGUUGACAAGUAAUAUUCCUUUAUGCACCACCCUUAUUUUUUUGUCCCCACCAGUUUCUAACUUCUGGCUCCCCUUUUGAACAGGUACCUUUUCAUAUUUUUGAAAUUUAUAGCGACAGUCAUACCGACUAUCGAGUAUGAUUAUACAAUGGACGUCGACCUUGGCAGUACAAGCUGAUUAUUGGUUGGCUUGAAGGUAAAGCAUGAGCUCUUACCAUCUGGCAGUUUAUUUCCCACAUCGAUCGUACAUAAAAGUAGAACGUGCUCAGGCUGGCUUACCUUCUUGACACUUCUCUUGUGUGCUAUGAUCCCGUUUUUUGGUCUGUAGGUUACUCAGUUAUUAUAGUUUGAGUUCUGUAAUACUCUGUUCUGAAUCUCUGACAGUAGUUGCUGAGAACAGAUGAAGCUAAUGCCUUGGAUUUUUUUGGUAAACAUGGAAUGCAGUCAAAUUGGACUGUGUAAACACAUGGAAGCGGCUUCCGAUGACUGCAGUUAGUAUUAGGGAUGUUUUAAGGAAACCAUGCUGUUUUAUGAGAGUAACAUCAGCGACUGGCACAAUGGGAGUGCCUCCUUUUAGUUUCAGAGAUAAACAGCUUAAACUGGCCAUACAGGAAAUCAGGUGCACACCUAUUCCUUUUGUGUAAGUUUUAGAGUAGUUUGGUAAUUCAAAGUUGAAGCAUAUAAAGUCAGCUAGUUGUUUCAUUAUUUCGCUUGUUCACUAUGUUCAAACUUUGGUUUGACUUGAUCCUUAUCUUCAAAUUUUAGUUUGAAUAUCAUAGCUAAUAUGGUUCAUUGUUAACACAAUGCUAUGUGAUGAUGCAGGCAGGCUUCCAACAGACAAAUUUGGUUACAACUUACAACCAUUGUCUUUUGUCCUGUAGAGUCCUUCAGUUAGAUGUUCCUGCAGAUUCUGAUCACAAGCAUGUUUAGGUAUGUAGCAGAUCUUCAGCGUCAAUUUGGUCUAAGUAUUGUUUGCUGUGCUAUUUUUAGAUCUCUACUCAUGAUUUAUUGUUUUUAAUGGAGUACGAAAUCAUUUGUUGGCUAUAAGCAGUCAUUUUAUUUUUCUAUGCACUUGAGUUAUGAAUGCAUCUUCAGAGUAAUGCCUAUGAACACGUCUAAUGUUUUCUCACCUUCCAGUCUAGAAAUACAGAUCACACAAGUAGUAAUGGUGGUUUUAAGAAUCAGUAUUGAAGUUCAAUAUCUCAAAAGGAAUGGAUUAUCUGCACCAGAAUAACAUUAUACACAGAGAUUUGAAGUCUGCAAAUCUCCUGCUAGGCUUUGACCAAGUAUGCACACUUAAUCAGGUUUUUUUGAAGCUAAUCAUUAUUAGUGCCCAUUCUCUUCCUCCUUUACAAUUUUCUGUACAAAAUCUGGAAAGUGCAUAAAGGAAAACCAGUAAUUCACGUAGUACUCAAUUUGGUUUUCUUAUUCAUUGUCUACUUCUAAGUCUGUUUUGUUUUCCUAUUUAGGAACUUGGAGCUGUUAAACAAUGUAUGGAGUUUGGGAGCCUUAAAACAAGAGGAUACAAGUGGCGACAUCACAACCCCUACAAGCUUGUGCCUUAAAACAAGAGGAUACAAGAAGUUGGAGUGCUUUUGUGAAGGCUUUUGCGAAUCACUUGAAGCGUUAGUACUUUUGUGAAUCUUGAAGCGUUAGUACUUUUGUGAAUGAUUUUGUAAAGUGUUUGCAAAUAUGUGCAAAACAUAAUAACAUGUGUAGGUUUUGUGAAUGAUUUUGUUGUGGUGCUUGUUGAUGGUUUAUGUGAUGUGGAUCUAUCAUUGUGCAAUACUAAUUAAAUUUGUAUAUCUGUGAUUAUGUGUAUAAAAAUUGGUGAUUUGUGAUGCUUUUGUAAACAUAAUAGUUGUUGAAUGCUAAUUAAUGGUAUAUUAUCAUUAUUAACAACUAUAACUAGGGGCAACUUUCUGUUGGUUGCUAAAUGUAUAGUAUAACGACUCACGAUUGGUUGCUAAAUCUAUAGUACAACAACCCACGGUUGGUCGCUAAAUAUACAAUAUUAGCAACGAACGGUCGGUCGUUAAAAAGAUGUUGGUCGCUAAAGCCUUUAGCGACGGCACUUACAACGACCAUCCUUAUGGGUCGCUAAAAGUUUUUAGCGACCAACCGUAGGUCGCUGAAGGCCGUUUUAGCAACCAACUGUAGGUCGCUGUAAGUGAACCGUCGUGUAGUGCAACAUGGCAAACUUUUCUCCUCAUAUUAUACACCAGUUUGUUCUAUAAAGCAUUAUUUUGAUCUCUUCAUUGUUCAGCAAAAAGAGAAGCUUUGGAAUAGAACAGACAAGGCCAAGAAUUCAUUCUAUCUGGAAAAAAAUCACCAUAUAACUAGCUUUUGAUGAAGCAAAUGAUGAUAACUGCUUGGCAAGAACGAAACAAGACUGGUAUCCGCCUAGGAUCCGUCUUCAACAACAGAUAUUACUGCUCUCAUAUGAAGGAGUCAUCCGGUCUCCACAAGAUCUUCAUAGUUCUAUCACAAAUUACCAUCACUACCACUACCACGGUCAAGAUUUAUGGCUCUUUCGGCGCCAAGGACUAAGCACAUAUUAAUGUCCAAUUUGGUUCCAAGCUCUAUGGUGACGUGGGAUUUUAAGGCUAUUUUCUACUCUUCUUACUUCUGGUAGAUCAUAGAUAGAUUAUGGUAAGCAUGUCAAAGGGUGGAAUCAAAUGUAGUUUUGCUACAUAAACCCCAAUUUUAUUUCCAUUCAGUACUGACCUUUACCAUUUGUCUUGUUGUAUACCAUUAUCGUCAAGGGACUAUCUCGAGUCAAUUCAACAACUAUGAGUAUUUACAAUUCUGAGAGAUAUAUGCAACACAAGCAUGAUGUCCUAUAUAGGACGAUUAAAGUGGUUCGACGAGAACACACAAUGGUUUUUCACACCAACAUAGUGAAAAUUUUCUCAGAAUAACCUUUCGAUGUACUCGCAACUUCGUGUUGCUAAGGUACUAGUCAUUUAUCUUAAAGUUUGCUUCAUGUCGUUCAGUGACAAAUAGCAAUGUGCGAACAUCAGGUUGAGAAAUGUAUAACUAAGAUUUCUAGCAUUUAUUCAUUUGGUAAGUGAAAGUCGCCUAGAUGGGGGGUGAAUAGGGCGAAUCUGAAAUUUAUAAACUUAAGCACAACUAUAAGCCGGGUUAGCGUUAGAAAUAUGGACGAGUCCAAGAGAGAGCAAAAACAAAUCGCAAGCAAAUAAAGAGUGAGACACAAGGAUUUGUUUUACCGAGGUUCGGUUCUUGCAAACCUACUCCCCGUUGAGGUGGUCACAAAGACCGGGUCUCUUUCAACCCUUUCCCUCUCUCAAACGGUCACUUAGACCGAGUGAGCUUCUCUUCUCAAUCAAACGGGACACAAAGUCCCCGCAAGGACCACCACACAAUUGGUGUCUCUUGCCUCGGUUACAAUUGAGUUAAUCACAAGAAAGAAUGAGAAAGAAAAGAAGCAAUCCAAGCGCAAGAGCUCAAAUGAACACAAGUCACUCUCUCACUAGUCACUAAUUGAUUGGGAAUGAUCUUUGGACUUGGGAGAGGAUUUGAUCUCUUUGGUGUGUCUUGUAUUGAAUGCUAUAGCUCUUGUAAGGUGUAGGAAGUCUGAAAACUUGGAUGCAAUGAAUGGAGGGUGGUUGGGGGUAUUUAUAGUCCCAACCACCAAACUAGCCGUUUGGUGAAGGCUGCUGUCGCAUGGCGCACCAGACAGUCCGGUGCGCCACCGGACACUGUCCGGUGCUCCUGCCACGUCACCAAGCCGUUGGAUUCCGACCGUUGGAGCUUCUGUCUUCUAGGCCACCAGACAGUCCGGUGGUGCACCGGACAGGCACUAUUCACUGUCUGGUGCGCCAUCUGGCUCUGCUCUGACUCUGGCGCGCACUGUAGCGCAUUUAAUGCCUUCUGCAGACGACCGUUGGCGCGAAGUAGCUGUUGCUCCACUGGCACACCGGACAGUCCGGUGUUACACCGGUCAGUCCGGUGAAUUAUAGCGGAGUGGCUCCCAGAAUUCCCGAAGGUGAGCAGUUUGGAGUUGGAGUCCCUGGUGCACCGGACACUGUCCGGUGGCACACCGGACAGUCCGGUGCGCCAGAUCAGGGCACACUUCGGCUGACUUUAGCUCUCUUUAUUUGAAUCCUUUUUCGGUCUUUUUAUUGGUUUGUUGUGAACCUUUGGCACCUGUAGAACUCAUAAUCUAGAGCAAACUAGUUAGUCCAAUUAUUUGUGUUGGGCAAUUCAACCACCAAAAUCAAUUUAGGAAAAGGUGUAAGCCUAUUUCCCUUUCAAUCUCCCCCUUUUUGGUGAUUGAUGCCAACACAAACCAAACCAAAUAUAGAAGUGCAUAAUUGAACUAGUUUGCAUAAUGUAAGUGCAAAGGAUACUAAGAAUUGAACCAAUAAAUUCUCAUAAGAUGCACAUGGAUUGAUUUCUUUAUUUUUAACAUUUUGGACCACGCUUGCACCACAUGUUUUGUUUUUGCAAAUUCUUUUGUAAAUUCUUUUCAAGGUCCUUUUGCAAAUAGUCAAAGGUAAAUGAAUAAGAUUUUGAGAAGCAUUUUCAAGAUUUAAAAUUUUCUCCCCCUAUUUCAAAUGCUUUUUCUUUGACUAAACAAAACUCCCCCUCAAUCAAAUCCUCCUCUUAGUGCUCAAGAGGGUUUUAGAUAUUAGUUUUGAAGAGGUUAUACCAAUUUGAAAUUCUAUCAAAAAUAAGAUACCGAUUGAAAAAAUCGCCAAUUGAAAAAUCUUUUCUUAACUCAAAUUUUUGAAAAUUGGUGGUGGUGUGGUCCUUUUGCUUUGGGCUAAUACUUUCUCCCCCUUUGGCAUGAAUCGCCAAAAACAGAUACUAGAGUGAAAUAUAAGCCCUUGAUUUUUCUCUCCCAAUGGUAAAUAACAUAAGAGUGAAGAUUAUACCAAAGUUGGAGAGCGGCUCAGAGUGACGGCGAAGGGUGAGUAAUUUCGAUGGAGUGGAGGCCUUUGUUUUCGCCGAAGACUCCAAUUCCCUUUCAAUCUAUGACUUGGUUUGAAAUACACUUGAAAACACAUUAGUCAUAGCAUAUAAAAGAGAUAUGAUCAAAGGUAUAUUAAUGAGCUAUGUGUGCAAAAUAUCAAAAGAAAUUUGGAGAAUCAAGAAUAUUUAGCUCAUGCCUAAGUUUGUUAAAUGUUUGUUCAUCUAGUGGCUUGGUAAAGAUAUCGGCUAAUUGUUCUUUGGUGUUAAUAUAUGCAAUCUCGAUAUCCCCUUUUUGUUGGUGAUCCCUUAGAAAAUGAUACCGAAUGGCUAUGUGUUUAGUGCGGCUAUGCUCAACGGGAUUAUCCGCCAUGCGGAUUGCACUCUCAUUAUCACAUAGAAGAGGAACUUUGGUUAAUUUGUAACCAUAGUCCCUAAGGGUUUGCCUCAUCCAAAGCAAUUGCGCGCAAUAAUGGCCUACGACAAUAUACUCGGCUUCGGCGGUAGAAAGAGCUACGGAAUUUUGCUUCUUUGAAGCCCAAGAUACCAGAGACCUUCCCAAGAACUGGCAAGUCCCUGAUGUGCUCUUUCUAUUAAUUUUACACCCCGCCCAAUCAGCAUCCGAAUAACCAAUUAAAUCGAAUGUGGAUCCCCUAGGAUACCAAAGCCCAAACUUAGGAGUAUAAACUAAAUAUCUCAAGAUUCGUUUUACGUCCCUAAGGUGAGCUUCCUUAGGAUCGGCUUGGAAUCUUGCACACAUGCAUACGGAAAGCAUAAUAUCCGGUCGAGAUGCACAUAAAUAAAGCAAAGAACCUAUCAUCGAUCGGUAUACCUUUUGAUCUACGGAUUUACCUCCCGUGUCGAGGUCGAGAUGCCCAUUGGUUCCCAUGGGUGUCUUGAUGGGCUUGGCAUCCUUUAUCCCAAACUUGUUGAGUAUAUCUUGAAUGUACUUUGUUUGACUAAUGAAGGUGCCCUCUUGGAGUUGCUUCACUUGAAAUCCCAAGAAAUACUUUAACUCCCCCAUCAUAGACAUCUCGAAUUUUUGUGUCAUGAUCCUACUAAAUUCCUCAUAUGUAGAUUCGUUAGUAGACCCAAAUAUAAUAUCAUCAACAUAAAUUUGGCAUACAAACAAAUCAUUUUCAAGAGUUUUAGUAAAUAAAGUAGGAUCGGCCUUUCCGACUUUGAAGCCAUUAGUGAUAAGAAAAUCUCUUAAGCAUUCAUAACAUGCUCUUGGGGCUUGCUUGAGCCCAUAAAGCGCCUUAGAGAGUUUAGAUACGUGAUUAGGAUACUCACUAUCUUCAAAGCCGGGAGGUUGCUUGUCACACCCGGUUUUAGAAGGCAAACCGAAUGCGAACCUUGUACGUGCCAGGAUCCGCAAUUCACGUACACAACAGUUACAUAACAUGGACAUCAUCACAUAGUGCUCAAAUAGUAUUAAAAAACGGAAAUAGUAGUCGAUUACAUCACAUGUCUGAGACAUCCACAUAGUCUUUACAAUAAAUCAAAGUGCGAAAACGAAACGUAGAUAAACGCGGCCUUCACAGGCAGCCGACUAGGGGUUGCCGCUAACCCACGCCUAGAACUCGUCGUAGUCUUGGAACUCCUGGAAGUCUCCUUCCAUGGCUUCAUCUUCUCCUGAGCAGUGGUUGCAAUGCUAACAACCUGGGGAAGGGGGAGGUUGGUGUGUAGAGCAAGGGUGAGUACACAUCAACAUACUCAGCAAGUAUCCUAUUUGGCUGUAGUGGACUAGCUUUAUGUGGGGAUAAGUCAAGCAGUUGCUUUUAGUUGGUCAGAUUAUUAUUACUAGUAGAGAAAGCCAAGUUUUAGAGUUAACCCACAUUAUUAACCCAAACGUACUCCUUUCCAAACGAAAAGAGUACCACUUACCAUUACCAGAGUCAAAUUCAAGAACCAUCAGUCUCAUUGCCACCUGCAAUCCGAACAUCUCUGAUCAAGUACCACUAAUCACUGGAGCUCCCUUGGCCGCUCAUAACCGCGAGCACGGCUGAUAUAUCAGUUUCAUAACACUCUGCAGAGGUUGCGCACUUUGCCCAUGAGCCGUGAUUCCCUUUUUGCCUCGGGUUGUACGGACCCUUGAACACUCCCAAGGUGAGUAGGCAGGGUCUCACUACGUAGCCUUUACAAAGAUUCCCCGGGGCUGUAGCCACCCAUUAGGUUUUCUAAAUGUACUGCACUCCUACACAAGGACAUGGAUAACAAAAGCUAGUAAAUCCUUAGGUAUAACUGUGAAAAUGCGGGAGGUCAAUUAAAGAAUGAAUAGGACAGAGAUAGGUCAAGGGACACUUGCCUCCACCAACCGACUGCUGCUCAGGGGCUUCUCCUGCGAGUUCUUCGGGCUCCUCAACUGGAUCAUUCUCUAUGCGAGUGCAAGCAUACAUGCAUCCAUCCAUUCGAAUUAGGAAACAAACAGUACACCAUUACAAGAGAACAAAUAGAGUAAAUAUGCAUAGAGUAUCACAUACGAUAUUGCAUAUUCCAUGGUUAGAGAAGAAAGAUCUCGCAGUGGUUAAAGCUAUACUCAAGGCGUAUUACGGGUAGACGCAUAACUAGCCAUUACGUGCUCUAGUUUCGCUUAGUUCCAAUAAUAAGGAUUAGUCACAUGCGCUAAUAGAAUCAUAACCCUUACUACAUUGACAACUCGCUAUGUUCAUGUUAAGAGAAAGAACGAACUUAGCCACUACAUUUCAUGUAGUCAUACUAACAGAUAUUUAAUAUAGGUGUAAAGAUAGCUAUUAUCUAAGCAUAAUUAACCCAUGCCUAGUUAUUGCCGCUUCUUGAUACAGUCCCAUUAGUACUAGCACUUUUAAUUGGCGAAGAGCAUCGUAGCGUGACAAUUCACACCUAAAAUAUAAAUGACUAAGCGUGAUGGUUAAGCGUUGUACGGGCGAAUAGGCUACACGAGCGAGCGAACGGGGCCGCGGACCACUACUGCACACACGAGCGAGCGAGCGAGGCCGCCACAAGCAAGUCGCGCGGGCUGCCGCAAGUGAGCUAGGACGCCAGGGGGCACGCCACGCCACGACGUCGCGGUCGAGCCACGCGAGCAACCCGCGCUGGGCGGGGCUACGCAGGACGUCGGGCGUUGGCCGAGCCAGGCCGCGGUCGCGGGCGGGCGAGCCACGCCGCCACGGCGGGCAGGGCGGGCGCAAGGCCGCGCCGAGCCGCGGGCAGGCGAGCCACGCCGCCACGGCGAGCAGGGCUGGCGCAAGGCCGUGCCAAGUCGCGGGCGGGCGGAGUGCCGCGCGGGCGGGGCGGGGCGCCAUGGCCGAGCUCCGGCCGCCACGACCGAGCCGAAGGCAGGCGAGCUGCGUCGCCGUGCCAUGCCGCGGGCGGGCGAGCCGCGGGUGGGCAGGCCGCGCCGCCGCGCCAUGCCGCACGCAAGGCCGGGGCCGGGCCGCGGACGCGAGGAGGAAGGGGGGGGGCGCCGAGGGCGGGCGAGGCCGGGGCCGACCGCGGGCGGGCGAGCCGCCAUGGCCGCGUCGCCGAGCUGGGGCCGCGGGCGGGCACGCCGCGCCGGGCCGCGCCAGCCGGACGGGCGCGAGGGAGGAGGGGAGGGGGUUGGGGCGGGCGCGCCCCACGCCGAGGCCGGGAUGCCGCGCCGUGCGCCAUGGACGAGCGCCAGAGGCCGGGCCGGGGCUCCGCCGCGCCGGGAAGAAGGGACGAGUGGGGGGAGGAAGAAAGGGAGGGGGCCGGGGCUCACCACGGACGGGCGAGCCGGGGGCGGGCAGGGGAGCGACGCGAGGUAGGGGAGGGAGGAGAUCGUGCGGGGGGGUAGAGGGGAGGAGAGAGAAAGUGGUUUAGGGAGGGGGAAGCUGACGGGUGGGGCCCGCGGGGGGGGGAGGCGGCGGCGGUUCCUAACGGCACGCGCCGCAGGCGAGCGUGGGGAGCGGGGGGGGGGGUGGCGGCGGGGCCGGCUGGGCCGGCACGGGGCCCAUGGCGGGAAGGGGAGAGGGGGACAAGGCCGGCUUGGGCUAGCUGGCCAGCUGGGCCGCGCGCCAAGGGGGGGGGGGCUGGGCCAAAAGGGGAGGAGAGGGGGAUGGAGAAAAGAAAAGGUUUUUCCUUUUUUUCUAAAACCUAUUUUCUAGAUGAAGGCUUUCACAAUUUCAACCAACCAAAAUAAAUGCAUGGUUCGGCAUGGUGCAGUCAACCAAAAUAAAGUACUUCUAGGGUUUUGUUUUACACGAGAUCUCGAGCCGAAUCUCGCUAUAGCUUUGGAAAUGAUCAAGGCUUAGCGAGAAGAAAAGGAAAAAGGAGAGGGUAACGCCCGAACUUGGUGGGUGAAAAGAAGAAAAAAUUCCACCCCCACAUUUAGGGCGUUACAACGGGCUGACGAGCAGGCUUGCUCUCUCUCUCCCUCGCGAACGCUUGUAACCCCUACUGUAAGUGCAUCCCCCCUUGGCGCAGGAUAACACGAGCCGCGUUCUUCCCCCCUUGUGUUCCAUCUCGCGCCAACCCAUCUGUGCUGGGACACGCAACAACAAUUUUACUCGUCGGUCCAGGGACCCCCCGGGCUCGAAACGCCGACACUCAUCAAAUCACUCCAUCUAGAAUAAUCUUCACCGUUAAACAUCGGUGGUUUGCCUAAUGGGACCGAAAGUAAUGGAGCUUGUCUAGGAAUGCGAGGGUAGUGUAGGGGGAUCUUACUAAACUUCUUGCGCUCAUGACGCUUAGAAGUGAUGGAUGCCGAUUCCGAUCCGGAGGUGGAGGGUGAUGAAGGGUCGGUCUCGUAGUAGACCACCUUCUUCAUCUUCUUCUUCUUGUCACCCUUCCGUUGGGACUUGAUGGAGGAAGAGGAUUCCUCCUUGUGCUUGUGGGCGGACUCCCUUGAGUGUGUUCUCCCCGAGCUUGCGGACUUGUUGCCGGUCCCGAGCUCCCUCUUGGCGGAUGCUCCCGACAUCACUUCGAGCGGUUAGGCUCUAAUGAAGCACCGGGCUCUGAUACCAAUUGAAAGUCGCCUAGAGGGGGUGAAUAGGGCGAAUCUGAAAUUUAUAAACUUAAGCACAACUACAAGCCGGGUUAGCGUUAGAAAUAUGGACGAGUCCGAGAGAGAGAUCAAAAACAAAUCGCAAGCAAAUAAAGAGUGAGACACAAGGAUUUGUUUUACCGAGGUUCGGUUCUUGCAAACCUACUCCCCGUUGAGGUGGUCACAAAUACCGGGUCUCUUUCAACCCUUUCCCUCUCUCAAACGGUCACUUAGACCGAGUGAGCUUCUCUUUUCAAUCAAACGGGACACAAAGUCCCCGCAAGGACCACCACACAAUUGGUGUCUCUUGCCUCGGUUACAAUUGAGUUAAUCACAAGAAAGAAUGAGAAAGAAAAGAAGCAAUCCAAGCACAAGAGCUCAAAUGAACACAAGUCACUCUCUCACUAGUCACUAAUUGAUUGGGAAUGAUCUUUGGACUUGGGAGAGGAUUUGAUCUCUUUGGUGUGUCUUGUAUUGGGAAUGAUCUUUGGACUUGGGAGAGGAUUUGAUCCAAGCACAAUAGCUCUUGUAAGGUGUAGGAAGUCUGAAAACUUGGAUGCAAUGAAUGGAGGGUGGUUGGGGGUAUUUAUAGUCCCAACCACCAAACUAGCCGUUUGGUGAAGGCUGCUGUCGCAUGGCGCACCGGACAGUCCGGUGCUCCUGCCACGUCACCAAGCCGUUGGAUUCCGACCGUUGGAGCUUCUGUCUUCUGGGCCACCGGACAGUCCGGUGGUGCACCAGACAUGCACUGUUCACUGUCCGGUGCGCCAUCUGGCUCUGCUCUGACUCUGGCGCGCACUUUAGCGCAUUUAAUGCCUUCUGCAGACGACCGUUGGCGCAAAGUAGCCGUUGCUCCGCUGGCACACCGGACAGUCCGGUGCGCCACCAGACACUGUCCGGUGCUACACCGGUCAGUCCGGUGAAUUAUAGCGGAGUGGCUCCCAGAAUUCCCGAAGGUGAGCAGUUUGGAGUUGGAGUCCCUGGGGCACCGGACACUGUCCGGUGGCACACCGGACAGUCCGGUGCGCCAGACCAGGGCACACUUCGGCUGACUUUAGCUCUCUAUAUUUGAAUCCUUUUUUGGUCUUUUUAUUGGUUUGUUGUGAACCUUUGGCACCAGUAGAACUCAUAAUCUAGAGCAAACUAGUUAGUCCAAUUAUUUGUGUUGGGCAAUUCAACCACCAAAAUCAAUUUAGGAAAAGGUGUAAGCCUAUUUCCCUUUCAGUAAGGUCUUUUGCUUACUAAUAGAAUCCCAAUGUGUGAUAUCUCCUAUGCCAAAAAGGCUUUCAUGCAUUAUAUAUCUUCGGGUUACUUCGGGUAAAACUUUUAUGCAUGAGGAGAGAGCAAAGAAUUAACUUAUCUGUAUUUCAUUUUAUUUUAAUUUAAUUUCCUAGAUUUCCAAGCACUAUAGAGCUUGAUAUAGUCGUUAUGGCCACUUGGCAAUAUAAAUAAAUAUAUGAUGCCACAUAACACAAUCAAAUAAAAUAUAGAGCCAAACGAAAUUGUUUAUGCAGGUUGCGCAUAAUGUGACUUCAGGGGUUUGAACAACCCACCACAAUCUACGCAAGUACAAGCUCUAGUGUAUCUUGCGUCAACGCGUGUGCGCAUAAUGUGGCGUCAGGGACACGACAACACAACAAGCCUCUGUAACAAGUGCGAGAGACGCAAUUAUGUCUCGGUAGUCGUUGUACACGAUAAAUCCACACAACGUGCGCAACAGGCGCAAUUGUGGCUCAAUGAUUGAGAUACAUGGAUAGUGCCUACAGGGCCUGCGAAAAAUGCGUGACUCGGCGAUGGCGGUCCGACUCAAUGGCAGCGAUCCGAUUAAUGAAGAGCACGACAUUGCAAUCACAUGACACAGCCAAGUUCAAACGGCACAAAUACUGCGUCGUGUUGCCAGGGCGCAAUCAAUAUUCAGCUAAUGUCAUAACUCAGUCAAUUACCAACGUAGCCUGAUCGGCGUGUCCGAGUACUCACUAUACAAUUUAAUCGCUCGACGUGAGUCCAAAAGCUCAACAUAAUAUAAAUAUUUAGAGCGAUUUAAGUAUGCAGAAUAAAGCCUUUAUAUGUAUUUUAAUUUUCUGCUAAGUAUCCACUACAGGAAAUAAAAGCAGAAAACAAACACAAAAAUUAAUGAAUAAACAUAACACAUCAUAUAUAAAAGGCAAAUUUCCAUAUUUAAGCAUGCAUUUUCUACUAAUUAUUUACGACAGAAAAUAAUUAAUUAAGGUAGAAAAUAUAUCUUAUUCUAUUUGUUAUUUUCAACAUGAAAUAUAUAGAAUAAAUAAUAUGGAGCAUGUGUGGCGGAACUGCCCGAAUUAUUCCAACUUAAGUGCCUAAGUCCCGCCUCAGAGGCUAGACCACACUUAAAUGGGAAUAACCCGUCAAUCCCUCGGAUCUAGUCCGACAUGGCCACUGACAGGAUCAAGUACCACAAUCUCACUCGAUGGUGAGUCACAGAGCAAAUACAAUAAAGCAUAAAACCAUGCAUGAAAGAGUAUUAAAUUAUUACAUCAUUAUCGGAGUUUUGCAAAAGUAGUCAUCAUUGUUCGAAGUGCAGCGGAAUAAAACUAGCGGUAAACAAGUAGAGAGAUGGGGAAGCCUGACCCAUCACCCCUCAUGCUCCUCCUCAGCUGAGGUAGGGUCCCACUCGACAGUCCAACCCGGUGGCAAGAUGGACGGCCAAGUCACUCCAGUAACCAUUUCCUCCAGAGAACCUGUAAAAAAUUAUGCCACAAGCAAGGCUGAGUAUACUAAUACUCAGCUAGACUUACCCGGUGUGAGGAGUCUACUCCUCUACCUCUAGACAUGCAGCUGUUUGGCUGUGGGGUUUGGUUGCCAAAAGCACUAGCUGAGUUUCUAAAUCAAGUUUUACUUUGUCAUGUUUAAGUGUGACUCUCUUAAGGCUAAAAGUGUACUAUCUACUCAUACAUAGUAGCAAACAUUAUUAGCAAUCAACAUCUUAUAUCAACUCAUCAUAUUUCCACUUGUUACUCAAUGUAGCAGCAUGGAUCAAGCAGUCUCAUUAGCUGCGAGAAGCAGACGAUUCGAAUCGAGUUUUUAUCCUUGCAAGGUAAACCUAAACACACGACAUGCAGGGGCACUCCGUCCCCACACAUAUCAACCGUCCCCAUCGAUUCCCUGGCAACAGAAAGGGGCUCACCGCCUUGGCGUACAAUGCCUCACUGACCCCGACUGCCGUCGUGCAGUGACCGCACUUGAACCCACCAUAACCGGAAUGGGAGACCCAGUCUCAGGUCGCGUGAGGAGGGCAAUCUGCGGGCAGGUUCACUCAGGUACUAGGCUUACCGAUUUACCAUAUUUCUCGGUAUGUGUUUAGUACGUUCAAACGCUUGACACACGGUACCACACCUUAAUCCUUAUUCCAAUUUUUAUCCCGUGAACAACCAAUCCCCAUGGAUUGUUGUCCACCAGCCAACCUCAUUAUGAUAAGAAAGUGGAUACAACCAAUUUCCUGACCUCGCGCGAGUGCUAGAAAAAUCGUCUUCUACCGAGAUCCUAAUUAAUAAAACAGCUACUCGACCUAGCAUACUAGUAUUCAUCUCAACAGGAUUCCUGAGAUCAUGCAACUAGGGUUUCAAACAAUUCCUACACCUAAGUGCACAAUCAAACCUACAAUCAUUAAGUGAAGUAAUAUAGCAUAAUAACAGGUUAUGCAUAAACCGGGGCUUGCCUUCUAAAGCAGUGGCAGGCAGAUCCUCUGAUGCAGACUCUGGGGCUGGAUCCGGGGCUACCUCCUGAGCAGCUCCUUGCUCCGGCACGAGGACGUACUCUCCGUCAGCAAGGUUACAGUCUAUCGAAAUGCAAUGAACAUGUAUGUCAUGAUUAUGCAAGAUUUAAUAACAUUAUGUUGAGAGAAGAAAAACUAAGUUAAGGAGUAACUUAGGGUUUGCUUGGUCAUACGGGGCCUUUAGUGGUUUAUGCUUAUCACUCCUAGGUUUAGAUUUUUGUUGAGGAUAAACAUAGUGGAUUUGUAUUGCCUUUAUAUAUUUUAGUGGACAAUUUACAAGGAUUUUAGGAUGACACUAAUUUCCAUUAUUCAUUUUCCUUUCUUUAAUUUUUAUUUAUGAAUUUUAGUGGGGUUUGAACUACAACAGUAGCUUAACUUUUUCCAAAAAUUUUGUAAAAAUUACAGUGGGUUGUCAUUGGUCACUAUAGCCCCUUCUAGGAAGUUGAGGUUCGAAAUAAAAAUGCUGUGCUUUAUAAAAAAAUAAAAGUUGGGUAAAUGGGCCACUUUGUACUACAACUCUUAAUUAGGGGUGGGUUCUGUCCUAAAGGUUAUUUUUGUUGGCAUCUAACAGUAAAAAUAGGCUUCUGUGCCAAAAAUCACAGAAAGCUAAGGGGUGGUUAUUUAGUUAUGAUUUUCUAAAGUUUAAUGCCUAAAAGGCACUUUCUACCACACUGUUAUUUGGAAAAUGUCAAACAACAGAUUUCAUAAUUUUCCUAAGUUUUUAAUAACAAAACAUUAACUAUCUCAAGGGUGGGGGUGUUUUCACCUUGGGGUUAUUUUUGUAGGGUUUUUCUAAGUUAUCCUUGUUUUAUUCAAAUAAAAGGUAUCCUACUUAUUUUAUACUAAACCAGGGUAGGGUAGAUUUUUCUAGUGAACUACAUUGGAUAAGUACCUUAACAAAAAUAGGGGUGCCCUCUGGUUCAGUAUUUAAUUCACCUUUUCUAUUUUUCUUAACCUUAAGCAUAUUAUAAAAUAAGGGGUAAAAACUAACUUAAUGGAGUGGACAGAGAGGUUUAACAUUUUUAAACAGGUCAGUAAUAUAAACUUCUCCAAAUUUUUCUAACCCUAGUCAAAUAAUACAACUAUUUUUCUUUCUAUUAUUGAGCUUUUGGCCAAAACUAUAAUUAAAUCAGAGCUUUAAAGUUUUCUAUAGUACAUAGGGGGUUUUAUAUUUUUCUUAAGUAGGUUACAUUAUUUAGAGUAUGACAAAAUUGGUUUGACCAAAUUUGGAUGAACUAAACAGAAGUUAUGAAUUUUUAAAGUCUCUGUUCAAUUUAAAAAUAGAUUUAAUAAGAGUUUCCUGGAAAAACAGUUUACACCGAGGUCCCUGGGUUUAAACUAAAUCAACCCACUCAAAUAUACCCCUGAGCCACUAUUCCCCUGAGUCGCUGACAGUUCAAAAAGCCCCCUGACCUUUUCUUCCUCUCACCUGCAGUCCUUCCCCCAAUGCAAACAGUACCCGCGGGAAAGAAAAGGGUGGCGCGGCUUACCGGCAGCGAGAUAGGUCCGGCGAAGGGCAGGUUUGGCUCGGGGAGGCUCUGGCAGUCAGAGCGAGGUGCGGCUCGACGACGGGGAUGGCCGGAAUCACUCGGUCCACGUGCGCAGGCGAGUGUUCUCGUCGGCGGCGAGUGUACCGGCCAAACCACGGCGAUCUGGUUCAAUCCAAGGGCACGGUGAGCUUCCUGGGGUGACGUAUAGGCUAUCUGUGCAGUGAAUCGAGAAAUGGCUUAGUGAUUUACCCGAUCCACGCACUCCGGCGGGGUUAUGAACUCCGGCGACCGUGGACUGGCUUCUCCGGCGAAGCAGACUUCGAUUCCUCGCUCGGGGAGCUUCACUGAGUUGUGCACACUCGUCUCCGAGGGUUGGACGGGGUUGGGGAAAGCUGGCUGGCCGGUCUACGGCGGCAGUGGCUCGGGUGGCCGUGGACACGUCGCGCACGGGCAAACGGCGGUGAACUGAGCUCCGGUGAGGCUUGAGGGUGCGCGGAAGAGUGCAGUCGGCGCCUGAGCGGGCUUUAUAGGCGCGGGCGCGGGCCAGGGCGCCGGCUGGCCGUUGGCGCGACGCGGGGCGCGCGCGGGCGUGCUCUGGCGCACACAGAGCGCGUCGAACACGUGGAGCUUUUCUUCUGCCCGUGUUCCACAGCUCACCCAAGUCGCAAACGUGCGAAUCUUGGCAAAAAUCCGGCGCGAGUCUUUUCCUGGCACCUAGGGCUAUCUCUCAUCCGUGAGCUGCCAUGUCAGAUAUGGCCUAGGCAGGGAGAUCUCUGGUCGCCAAAUCGGGUGUGUCACACUGCCCACCUCGCGACAAAAAUCAUGCCAAGGCAUGUCAAACGUCCAAGUCUCGGGCUCAGCUUUUUCCAGUGGGUGCCUUGGGUGGUAUGCCACAUUUUUGGUAUAGAACAUAGGUGGAUUUGGUGCUAGCUCCGAGGUGAAGACGACUGAUCUUUAGUGUAGGUGUAGUUUUUAACUUAGAGAGAAAUAGAGAGCUCUAGCUCUCUCUCCACUUGGAGAUUUGAUUUGGGGUUUCUCCAGGGGUCUUUUUGCAAUAGUUCCCUCCCCUAAUUGCUGGUUAUAAAGUUACUUAAGGUUUGGUUAAAGAUUACCCAUGUUUUGCACAUUUGCUCACUCUCUUUCCCCUUUUAUCCAUGGUUCUGGGAGAUAGGGUUUAAGAGAGGUCUAGGGUUCUUCCCCCCUCUUAUCCAAGGUAGUAAGUGUACAAAGAUUUGAGUAAUACUUUCUUAGGUCAUUUACAACUUUGACUAACACAUGAUCUCCAAGUUCUUAUGUGUUUCCCUAAGUCUCUACCACAUAUGAUCACAGUCCUUAGUGCCAAGGUGUGCUCUAGCCAUGGUAACACUUGAGGUGUUACAGCAUGCAUACAGAUUAAAAUUGUAUCAUAAUUAAUUAAUACGACAAACAUUCAAUGGGAAAACUGUAUAUAUAUUAUAUCUAAACGAAUAGUAUGGAGGACCAUUAAUCAUAGAUAGAGAUGAAUAUGUAUUGCACACAUGGGGUAAUAAUGUCGCAUGCAAUAUUUUGUACUUUACCUUUUUUUUCUCCUGAGUCUUUCUAAGCCGCACAACUCUAAAGGAUUUUCAUUCAAUCAAAAUCCGUUUUCGAGGAGCCGCUUUUCUUGGCUACAGGUGUGGUCAUGCUCAUGCAAACGCUUUCUUGGAGCAGACACAUUUCUCGGCCAGGUACGCGUCAGCGUGGGCUUGUAAUCUCAGCCGCUUUGACCGGAUUGAUUGGCAACUGCCGCCAGCUGCUCGCCCCUGCGCGUUCAAAGCAAAGAUACGAGAAUGACGACAUUGCUGAAGGUUUGCAGGUUGUCAGGCUGUGCCUCCUCCCAUGCGCAUGGCGCCGCAAGGCCGUGCCCGCGCCUCAAGGAAAUGAUGCUAGGUACCCGCAUGGUGUAGACCGCGGCGGUCGCGCGAAGCUGGUCUGCGCCAAAAACAACAUUGCACGCGACUUGCACCCGCAUUUGUCACAACUUCCGGUUGCCUCUCCGAGGGAACCAACCGCCUCGCAGGCGAAUACUGUUCUGGCACGGUGCUCUUCCCACAGCGAUAACACAACAGAUCGGAAGUAGAUUGCAAAUCUAAUCCAGAAAUUACAUACCGUUCGAUUACGUAGAUGAAUCGAAGUCUGUCGCGUAGGACAGUUCGGCUAGGCCGGAGGACAUGCCGGCUUGACGGAGAGUUGAUGCAGAUCCGAUCCCGCAGCAACGUUGAGAUAGAGCGUGUUGAUAACGUAUUGAGAACUACAUUACCACGGAUCACCAGAUCCGCUCCCUUCCCCAUGUCAGCAGAUUAGGCGAAGAAGCUGUAGAGAACCCGUCUCCCUUCCCAUGAGCACGACAGAGGAAACACACGAGACACAAUAUAUAGGGUUGAACCUCUGCCCUCUUUCUAAUCUAUAUUCCGUAUGAGGGGUACAUGUUCUAUAUAUAGAGACGUAAUAGCCCUCAGAAGCAUAUUUGAUAUUUGCCUACAUAACCCUUCAUUAGAGUUUCUCAACAAAACCUAAACGCUAAUGGGUGACUCUGCCCCUGGACCCCCUGUUUGAGACCACCAAUGGGUGGGGAAUCGAAACCACCUCUUUUCGAGGGCUUAAACGCAUGAGCCACAACCGUUUCACUACCACUUAUUGUUGUAGACAAAUGUGACAUAACCAUAGAUAUAUAACAAUGAGAUAUUUUGAAAAUACCUUAUUUUGAUUUUUAGAUACAUUAUUUUUACUAUAGAUAUAUAACAAUAAAAAUUAUAUGCCGAAAAUACUAAAAUAUUUUAUAAUUUAGAAUAGGGCGAGCAGCUCGUAACAGAGUUCACGCUUCAAGAGCUUAACAAAAAGAAAGUUUCGAAAGAUGGAUGGGACACAAAUAUACUUACUACACACUCGAAACACAUACUAGAUGGGUACACCGUACACAUAUUAAACGACACAGGAGCUCAACGGCCCAGUCCCACCGAUGUGCUGUAAAGGUAGGCCACAUCAGCACCGACACUGGGCCCACUAACCCGACACGGAAUCAGCACACAGACACAUUAUUUAUUCGACCACAACACAAAACGACGCUCCUUUACUAGGCGGGGCCCGCCGCGCCACGUAGGACACGACGUGAACCCGAACACAAAAGCAGGUUUUUCCUAGCGACCUAUGCCGGCGCCAUGCCGUGCUGUUGCCGUGGCAGUGGCACCAGCGCGGCGCACGCCAGUCGCCAGGUGACAGGCUGACGCAGCGAGCUAGAUCGGCCGCCGUCCGGCGCUGGGCUGGACUCACUCGACGGACUUCUCGACGGCGGCCUCGGGAGCAGGGGCCGCCGCUUCCUCCUCGGUCGCUGCGACCUCAGGAGUGGCAGCAACAGCAGGCGCUGCCUCCUCCUCCUCCUCGUUAGCCUCCACAGCCGCCACCUCUUUGGUCUCGGCGGCUAUCUCCGGCUCAGCAGCCUCGACCGGGGCAGCAGCAGCCUCCGUCUCUGCUGCCGGCGCGGCGGCCUCCGUCUCUGCUUCCUUGACCUCCGUCUCUGCUGCCGGCGCGGCGGCCUCCGGCUCUGCUUCCUUGGGCUCUGCCUCGGUCGGCUCAGCAACGGCCUCGGCCUCCUUGGUCUCAGUCUCAGUCUCGGCCUCCACCGGCUCCGGCUCCUUAGCGACGACGACCUCGGUCUCCACCGCCGGAGCAGCGGUCUCCUCGUUCGGGGUCUCGACGGCGGAGGCGGCGGCCAGCUGGGCAGCCUCCUCGACGGGAGCGGCAGUCGGGACCUGGACCUGCACGUACGUACGAACACAUGCGUGGGACUUGGGGCACAAAUACAAUGGUGGCUGGUGCGUGCAGAUGGACGAAGAGAAUGGGGUCUCGGAAGCAGCUCUGUGCACGUAUGAUUACCUCGACGGCGGCCAUUGGUGCAGUGCAGCUAGCUGGACGUGUGUGUGUGUGGACUGUGGAGCAAACAACGAAGGCACUGAAGCUCGGAGCUAAGCAGAGUGCAGAGCUCACCAGUGUGACGAUGGCUGGCUGGCGUGUGUUGUGAUGCAGUGUGGUCAGGCAGAGCCGCAGAGGGGUGUAUAUAUAGUAGGAGUGCCCGGCCCUCCAAGGGAUUUAAUUACAUAUAAUUAUAUUAAAAAUAAUAAAAAAGAGAGAUAUUGUGAAUCUUUAGAGCGAGCGGGCCGAGCUGGAGCCACCACCACACCACAUGGCUGCAUGCAUGCAUGCAACGUCAUUAUUCCCAUAUCGUACGUGCCCAGUACUAUAUAUUCAUUCAGGGGCAAGUAGUUGCUGCUGCAUUUGCGUGUCAGGCAAAAAAAAAAAAGAUGGGCGGCCAUGAUGAUCCAGCGAGCUCUGAUCUGAUGCUGCGUGCAUGGAUGGAUCGACGAUCGCCUCCAGAUCUACGUACGCCGAUUGCAUUUUUUUUCUCUAUGCACUGUUCGAGAAAAGCUACCGAUCGAUAAACAUAGCGGUAGAAUUGUUUUGUGCAGCCGAGAGAGAUGGAUGGGAUGGGAUCACUAGUACACAGAAGCUCUAUAGUGGCGGUUCUAAACCUAUUUACACAGGCGUUUUUCAGUACCGACAGUGCUAGGGGUCAGUGGAUAUCAGCAUUUCCACUGGCGGUUAUUUUGGAACCGCCAGUGAAAAGUGCAUUUUCACUGGCGGUUUUGCAUUUCCACUGGCGGUUCCUUAAGAAAACCGCCAGUGAAAAUGCACUUUUCACUGGCGGUUUUGCAUUUCCACUGGCGGUUCCUUAAGAAAACCGCCAGUGAAAAUGCACUUUUCACUGGCGGUUUUCUUUAUUUAGCCGCCAGUGGAAAGUUUUCCCGCCUUUUUUCAAAAUUUCAAACAAUACUGAAUUAUAUAUAUAUUUAUUUACACACACAAAAACACAUAUAUAUAUAGAUCUAUAUUGAUAUUGAAAGCAACAUGAAAUUAAAUUCUAUCAUACAUUUAUAUACAUCAAAGUAUUCUGUUUACAACCAUAUAUGCUUCAUGCAUUCUAUACAUCAUAAGUUUUCACCUAAGCUCUAAUAACUAUCUCGGCUAAGAGAUAAUCUACUAAUUUCUGUUAGUAUUCUAAACUCUGGCAAAGCUAAUGUCCCGGAAGCAUCGUGAUAUUUUCCUUCUGCGGGUAUGACCUCUUUCAAUAUGAAUGUGCAGAGGUCCUCGACUAUGCCAUACAAUGCAGCUUCGGUCAAGUUCUCCGGGUUUCCUCGUUGAAAUUGCUGUAAAGGAAUUUUAUAAACAUCAUCUAUUUAUACACAUUUGCAUCUUUAAUGACAUAAAUACAUACUUGACUAUUACUAAUAAUACCUUGUCAGGGUUCGUGACGUAUCGUCCGUUCACUCUCAUGAACUCGCACGCAUAGAAUCCACAUAGGACUGAUCCUUGUGGUUGCUUGUGGCACUACAUAACGGGAGAUUGGUUAUUUAGUUGCAACAUUGUGUAUGAUAUGUAUUCAUAAAAUCACAUACUUACCGGCCAGUGAUGAUGGAUUUCUAGUGGCACGCGUUGUUUCGACAGGUCGUACUUUCCACCUUUAAACUUAUAAAACCUAAAAGCCCUGUGAUCUCAAAUAGAAUCACCAUGUUAUUCUCAAAUUUUAAUCGAUAAAAGUAUGCAUGCAUAGAAAAGGCUUACAGCUCUAAGAUGCUGAGGAAUGUUGCAUAUGUCGAAGGGUCGAAGUUUAAGGAGUCGAGCACCAGCACCUUUCCAACCUUAGGAUAAAUGAGGAAGCAUAUCCAGUGGUCCCUGUACGAAUCAAAUUUGUGAUGCAUGUGUAUUGAAAUUAUUAAUUUUAUUUAAUGCAAAAUCACACUUACUUAAAGUUGUACGGGGCCAUUAUGGCUUCCCUGUCUUGAAAUUGAAGCAUUGCAUGUCCUAUGUAGGUGGCGUAUCGAGCUUCAAAAUCCUUCUUCAUAUCCUUUAUACGCUUCUCAACUUCUUCGUCCGUCUUUCCCCGUAAUUCAUCGUUGUCUUUCCCGAUUCUAAAAGUGUGGCUUUCCUCGGAUAUAAGUAUUGGGUUGAGAUACCCAACCCUUUUACUGGCACUAGCAUUGGGCUUGGUACCGUAAAGGAUCUCCUGCUGAUCAUGUUGCAUUCUGCAAGUCACACGUGCAUGUCAGAUAUUGAAAUUUUAUACAGCUCACUAAUAAUAACACACAUAUGUGGAAGUAUGAGCGACACUUACAAUGCAAACAUCGUUACAAGUUGCACGUCGAGUCUCUGAAGGUUCAUCAUUAACCACAUGUCCUCGAAUGUAACAACGGCCUUUUGGUUCGAACCAAUAAAAGCAUGGUCUGGUAUAUGCACACUGAUGGUGUCGAUGCCAACCGAUGAUGCCCGCAUGUACCAGUCAUGCAACCUUUUAACACCAGCCGGGACCUUUCUUAGUUUCUCAAGAGGUAGCAGAGGUCUGCCCGGCACAUAUUUUUUAGGCACGUUUUUGUAAUCUGCCUUAGUUGGCUUCUUUAUCUUUGCGGCCAUUGCCUCAGCCUUUUUUGCAGACUCCUCGUGCUCGGCCAAAUCAACAGUUUGUGACGUGAGGCUCCGUCCAAUCCCUUUCAAAAACCGAACUGUGCCAGCAGUAGUAGCUUUACUCUUCUUUUUCUGAUACGGGGACACCAAUUUUGGAAUAGGAAGUUUAGAUUUCUUUGAUGGCCUUGGAUCGUUUGAUGGCUGUGGAGAAGGUGGAUCCCUUGAUGGUGGCGUAGACAGUGGGUCACCAAGAGGAUGGGGAGGAGAAGGUGGUGGAGCCCUGAAUGGUGAUGCUUGUGGCGGAGACGGUGGGUCAGAAAAAGGAUGAGGAGCAGCAUGUGAAGUUUGAGGAGGUGAGGAUGAUGGAUGUACAAUAGGAGCAAAAAUUUGAGAAGGCGGAGACGGUUGGGCCUGCGACGCCUGCGGCGAAUUCGACCAAUCAAGCAAAUCGACAUCCCUUCGAGGCCAAAGGAUAAAAUUCUUGAUAGCUUGUCCAAGUUUCUCGAUACCUUCGGGCCCAGGGAUGUCUAGCAUGUCGUCCUCGGAUCCUUGGACGACCGUCGUCACUUCUACUUUGCAAUAAUCAUCUGGAAUAUCGUUUCCAUGGAACUUGCGUCCUGGGAUCGCAAGGCCUGUGGCUACUUUCUUUGUACGUUUAUUGUUAAUACCAUAUCUUAUAACCAGUGCGCACGCCACAGGCCUUGUGAUGUCAUCAACUGGAUAACGGUCCUUAUUUCCCGUUGAAGCAACAGAGCUUGGUAAUGUCGUACAAUCUGUGGAAGCCGGCGGUUGAGCUGCUGGAAUUAUUUGUAUUUGUGGAGUGGUCAUCUGUUGAACAGACAUCGCACUCGCCAACUGUUGCAUCAAUUCUGGAGGAGGAUUCGAUAGCAUUUGAGACAUCAUGGCUUUGAACUCUUUCUUGGCCUCCAACUUAAAAUAAUCCGCCAUCUCUUCCUUGUAUCGAUCACGUUUCCUGUACAGACCUUCCCACUGUUGUCCGAAUCCUUCCUUCCAUCCUUCCUUAGACGAGAUUCCUCGUACACGGCCAGGAUGCUCAGGGUUACCGAGACCAGCCGUUAGGAUGUCUCUUUCCCUUUGUGGCUUAAAAGUUCCUUCGCUCUGCUUAGCUGCCAUUGUAUAUAUGUUUUUUGCCGCUUCUUCGACAAUGGGAUCAUCAAAAGAUACACCGGUCUCGGUUUCCCUUGGUUUUCUAGCACGGAGCCAAUUUGCCGCCCUUUCACCAAGUUGCUCGGACAGCGUCGGCAACCCUGCGGCCUUCUUCUCGGCGUCUUCUUGUCUCCAUUUAGGAACCUGACGCUUGUAACCACCCGUGCCUAGGUGGUGGCGGUACUUGUUCUUCUUUGAUAGUUCAGAAUUUGCCUCACUUAGAGAUAUGAAAUCAGGGCUGCUCCUCUGCUCUAAAAAUACUGCCCACUGACCUGCUGAGAUUUUAUAUUUUUUGGUCGGGUCCAGACCUUUCUUUGCAAACUUUGUGUUCAUCUCAGACCUCCAGUUUCGGAAAUUUAUCGCAAGCUGCUUCAUCGUGUAUUCCUUCACGAGUUCUUCUGAACCCCGAGGCAGAACGAACCUCAUUAAUAGCUUAUUCCAUAUUUGAUUCUUGACAUCAUCUGACACAUCUCUCCACUGUCGUAUUGUUAUGUCAAGAUUAUCUCUAACUAAAAACCCAAGUGCAUUCCGGAACUUAGGUAGUGCCUCUUCUGGAGCAAGGGGCUGACCUUUCGGGCUCACGUCUGAGAUUUUGUAUGUUUUGUCGGGAAACUUGUUCAGCCCCCUGUCACCUCUUUUUCGAUCGCUCUGCUUCCUUUUCCUUGACGUCUCGGUUGUUGUCUUGGUCUGUUCCGGUGCGUCUUGGGUCGGCUCCGGUACGUCUUCGUUUCGUGCCACGGCUUCUUCGAGUAUCGCACGAAAUUCAGACAUGACCUCCUAUUCAUGUAAUAAAAUGCACAAGAGAUCAUGCAUGUGAAAUCAGUAGGGUACACAUACGAAGCUAAAGAUGCGUACUUUUACCUCAGCUUCUCGUGGAUCAUAAGUAGGGUCACGUUGCAACUCACGGAGAGCGGCCCUAUCUAUGCUAGUGGUAGGAAAAGGGUCGCUAGGCGUUUCAUAUCCUUCACUGCUGGAUUUUUCUUGAGCAACACUCUUGUCCAUGUGCUCGGGCACUAAAUCUUGGUCCUUGAUCGGAGAACUCAUUGAGCUAUAUAUAUACAAAUACAUAAGCAAUAAUUAAAUACAUAUUAACACAUAUUAACGUAAGCAAUAAUUAAAUUCAUAUUAACAAAUAGUAUAAUUAAAUACAUCCUCAGGCACUAAACCCUUAACCCUAACCCUAAACCCUAACCCUAAACCCUAACCCUAACCCUAACUAUAACCCUAAACCCUAACCCUUAACCCUAACCCUAACCCUAACUAUAACCCUUAACCCUAACCCAAAACCCUUAACCCUAACCCUAACCCAAAACCCGAACCCUUAACCCAAAACCCGAACCCUUAACCCUAAACUCUAACCCUAACUAUAACCCUUAACCCUAACCCUAACCCAAAACCCUAACUAUAACCCUAACCCUAAACCCUAACCCUUAACCCUAACCCUAACCCUAACUAUAACCCUUAACCCUAACCCAAAACCCUUAACCCUAACCCUAACCCAAAACCCGAACCCUUAACCCUAAACCCUAACCCUAACUAUAACCCUUAACCCUAACCCUAACCCUAACCCAAAACCCGAACCCUUAACCCAAAACCCGAACCCAAAACCCUAACCCUAACCCAAAACCCGAACCCUUAACCCAAAACCCGAACCCUUAACCCUAACCCUAACCCUAACCCUAACCCUAACCCUUAACCCAAAACCCGAACCCUUAACCCUAACCCUAACCCUAACCCUAAACACUAACCCUUAACCCUAACCCUAACCCUAACCCUUAACCAUAACCCUAACCCUAACCCUAAACCGUAACCAUAUAGUAUCGUAUAGUCGUAUAGUAUCGUGUAGGACGGGGAGAGAGUCGCAUAGGACGUAUAAAGAGGGAGAGAGGGAGAAUCGUAUGGAUAUUAUCGAGUUACGUAUAGAGAAGGAGAGAGGGAGAGUCGUAUAGGACGAGGAGAGGGAGAGAGGGAGAGUCGCAUAGGACGUAUAGAGAGGGAGAGAGGGAGAGUCGUACGGAAAUUAUCGAGUUCAGAUCGAAUUCGGAUCGGAUCGGAUAUGUAUAUUAUCGAGUUGUGACGGAUAAAAUUACAAUGUAUAUAUUGAACAUACAUUUGAACACAUAUGAACACACAUAUAUAUAUUGAACACAUACAUUUGAACACAUAUGAACACACAUAUAUAUUGAACACAUACAUUUGAACACAUAUGAACACAUAUAUAUAUUGAACACAUAUGAACACACAUAUGUCUCCCUCCUCUCUCUCCUCUCCCUCCUCUAACUAUCUCUCUCCUCUCCCUCCUCUCUCUCUCUCUCACCCUCCUCUCCCUCCCUCUAUCUAUCUCCUCUCCCUCUAUCUCUCUCCCUCUCUCUAUCUCUCUCCUCUCCCUCCUCUCUCUCUCUCACCCUCCUCUCCCUCCCUCUAUCUCUCUCCCUCUCUCUAUCUCUCUCCUCUCCCUCCUCUCUCUCUCUCACCCUCCUCUCCCUCCCUCUAUCUCUCUCCUCUCCCUCUAUCUCUCUCCCUCUCUCUAUCUCUCUCCUCUCCCUCCUCUCUCUCUCUCACCCUCCUCUCCCUCCCUCUAUCUCUCUCCCUCUCCCUCCUCUCUCUUCCCUCUCCCUCUCCUUCCUCUCUCUUCCUCCCUCUCGGCGGCGGCGGCGCGCCCCUCCUCUCUCUCACUCUAUGCAGAGACGGCGGCGGCGCCCGCGUGCGCGCGGCGGCGGCGUGCGCCCGUGCGCGCGGCGGUGGCGGCGGCGCGCGCCCUCCUCUCUCUUCCCUCUCACUCCUAGACCGAGCCCGAGCGAACGAAGAAAGGGAGAGAGAGAGAGAGAAGAACUCACCUACGGCGCGGGGACGACGGCGUGGACGACGGCGUGGACGACAGCGGCGCACGGAGGAAGAUCGCCGGGGCGAAAAUUCGGCAGCCUGACGGCGGGAGUGUAAAAGACAGGGCGCCAAAAGACUUAGCGAAAUUUCGGCCCCGCGCGCGCUCCUUUAUAUAGGAGAUAUUUCUACUGGCGGUUGACAAUGAAAACCGCCAGUAGAAAUCAUUUCUACUGGCGGUUGUCAUAGAGAACCGCCAGUAGAAAUGCCAUCCACAGACUGUGGAGGCCAUUUCUACUGGCGGUUCUCUAUGACAACCGCCAGUAGAAAUGAUUUCUACUGGCGGUUUUCAUUGUCAACCGCCAGUAGAAAUGUUUUUAGUAUAUUAUUUUUUAUUGUAUAUUCAUACAUUAAGUAUAUAAAUUUUUGUACAUAUUAAAUAUAUAAAUAUAUAUAUUUAGUAUACAUAAUAUAUAUAUUUAUAUAUUACUUCUCUCUCUCUCCCCUCUCUCUCCUCUCUCUCCUCUCUCUUCCCUCUCCCUCCUCUCUCUUCCCUCUCUCUCCCCUCUCCCUCUCUCUCUCCUCUCUCUCCUCUCCCUAGCUCCUCUCUCUCUAUCCUCUCUCUCCUCUCUCUCCUCUCUCUCCUCUCCCUAGCUCCUCUCUCUCCUCUAUCCUCUCUCUAUCCUCUCUCUCUCCUCUCUCUCCUCUCUCUCUCUAUCCUCUCUCUAUCCUCUCUCUCUCUAUCCUCUCUCUAGCUCCUCUCUCUAGCUCCUCUCUCUAGCUCCUCUCUCUCUCUAUCCUCUCUCUCUCUAUCCUCUCUCUAGCUCCUCUCUCUAGCUCCUCUCUCUAGCUCCUCUCUCUCUCUAUCCUCUCUCUAGCUCCUCUCUCUAGCUCCUCUCUCUAGCUCCUCUCUCUGUCCUCUCUCUCCUCUCUCUCUCUCCUCUCUCUCUCCUCUCUCUCUCCUCUCUAUCCUCUCUCUCUCUAUCCUCUCUCUCUCCUCUCUAUCCUCUCUCUCUCCUCUCUCUCUCCUCUCUCUCUCCUCUCUCUCUCCUCUCUCUCCUCUCUCUCUAUCCUCUCUCUAUCCUCUCUCUCUAUCCUCUCUCUAGCUCCUCUCUCUAGCUCCUCUCUCUAGCUCCUCUCUCUCUCUAUCCUCUCUCUCUAUCCUCUCUCUAGCUCCUCUCUCUAGCUCCUCUCUCUCUCUAUCCUCUCUCUAGCUCCUCUCUCUAGCUCCUCUCUCUAGCUCCUCUCUCUGUCCUCUCUCUCCUCUCUCUCUCUCCUCUCUCUCUCCUCUCUCUCUCCUCUCUCUCUCCUCUCUAUCCUCUCUCUCUCUAUCCUCUCUCUCUCUCCUCUCUAUCCUCUCUCUCUCCUCUCUCUCUCCUCUCUCUCUCCUCUCUCUCCUCUCUCUCUAUCCUCUCUCUCUCCUCUCUCUCUCUAUCCUCUCUCUCUCCUCUCUAGAAAGUCAUGUAAAAUUACAUGCUUCGGUUUGUCGCUAACAAUAAUCAAUUACAUGACAUGUCCUAACAAUAAUCAAUUACAUGACAACUAUAUAAUCUAGGGAGCUAUUGUUCUGCCUUGUCCAUCGUGGCGUACCCAGGGCAUCGAAUUGCGUGGGAUGCUUCGCUCAACGUUCCUUAUCUUGGUUGGAUGGUCUAUGAAAAGAGACAUGUCAUUGAACUGGUUAAAAUCCUCUAAAUCAGAUACACCAUCAACUCCUAUAGCUUGUUGUUUUCCAGGAAAAACUACAUGCUUCGGUUUGUCGGUGCUUUUCUUCUCAUUGUUAGAAAUGAUAUGUUCAGCAUAGAAGACCUGUGCAGCACGAUUAGCAAGGAUCCAUGGGUCAUCUUUGUAACCUACCUUACUUAGAUCAAGAACUCUGACCCCAUAGUUGUCUACCGUGACAUGUUUGUCUUCAACCCAUUGACAUCGGAAAACCGAGAUCUGAAAUGUACCAUAGUCUAGUUCCCAUAUGUCCUCAAUAAAGCCAAAAUAUGUAAUAAUCUCACCAGUUUCAUCAUCUAUGGCUUCGCAUCGAACACCACUGUUUUGUGACAUGCUCUUUUUGUCCUUGGACUUGGUACAAAAUGUGAAUCCACUAAUGUCAUAGGUUUGCCAUGUUGUGACCUGGCGUGAUGGUCCAGAUGCCAAGCCCUUGAUGGUUUGUUCUUCUAUUGUUUCUCCACGUGGAAUGUCCUUCACCAUUAGCCAUGUGUUGAACCGCUGCUUAUGUUGCUUCAUUACCCAAUCAUCCGUAUGCCCAGGAUUUUGCUCGCGAAGCUCAUUGAUGUGUUGUUGGAUAAAUGGCUCCAUUAUUGUUAGCUGAUGUAGGAUGCUCUGAUGUGCCUCAAGUACUAUAUCGUAAUCCGGUGGGAUGAAAGAUUUCCGUCCCAUCCUCCCGCUUCCAUACAGUCUACCCUCGUGUCGUGACGGAGGCAGACCUAUUGCAACCUGGUCUUUUAGGAUACUAUUGCAGAAUGGAGCUCCGGACUCAAUCGCCUCUUCGGUACAGUACCCCUCUAUCAUGGAUGCCUCGGGACGAGCACGGGUUGAUACAUAGCCAUUCAGUAUUGACAUGAAACGUUCAUACGUCCACAUUUCAUGCAAGUACAUAGGACCCAAUGCCUCUAUUUGUGGCACCAAGUGCACCACAAGGUGCACCAUAAUAUCAAAGAACGAUGGAGGGAAACACAUCUCAAACUGUGAUAUUGUCUCCACUGCGAAUUCCUGAAGAGAUGCCAACUCAUCACGGCCAAUUACCUUUUGUGAAAUCCUGUUGAAAAAGUAGCACAACCGUGUGAUUGCCAUCUUUAAAAACAAAGGAUUUAUAGCCCUGAUGGCAAUAGGUAGGAAUGUAGUCAGCAUGACAUGGCAAUCAUGUGAGUUGUAGUUGGUGAUUGUCAGGUCUUUCAUUGACACAAUACUCCGUAUGCUAGAGCAGAAUCCGGAUGGGACUUUCAAAUUCUUGAGCCAAACACACAUCGCAUGUUUCUCAUCUACAUUGAGAUUGUAGCUUGCUGCUGGGAGAUGGUACUUCCCAUUUUCUUGAAGAACGGGAUGUAGUUCCUUUUUUAUGCCUAAAUCUACCAAGUCCAUGCGUGAAUUGAGCCCUUCUUUUGUUUUGCCCUUUAUGUCUAGCAAGGUGCCCAUUAUGCUUUCAAACACGUUCUUCUGAACGUGCAUACCAUCGAUCGCAUGCCGCACAUCUAACUCUUUCCAGUAAGGCAAGUACUCGAAGAAAAUAGACUUCUUCUUGAAUAUAGCCCCCGAAGCUGGUUUGACAUCCUUCCUUGUUUUUACGUCUUUUGUCUUCUUCCCGAAAACAAACUUGAUAUUCCUGACUAUUUCAAAAACUCUAUGACCUCUAUUGUUACCCGAUGGAGCAGUAGAAUGUAGUUCACCAUUAUUGUCGAAGUACUUAUCCAUCUUUCGCAUGCGGUACCUGUGUCCUUCCAAUAAAAAGCGUCUGUGACUCAUGUAAACUAUCUUCCUAGAUGCAGCAAGGGAUACGUAAGCAGUUCCAUCAAUGCAUACUGUGCAACCAACCUUUCCCUUAAACUGGCCUGAUAAUGUGAAGAGAGCAGGGUAAUCGUUGAUCGUAACAAAAAGAAUUGCUCUCAGCGUGAAUGAACCUUUACGAUACUCAUCCAACAUUUGAACACCCGUUUCCCACAAUAUUUUCAUAUCCUCCAUUAAGGGCUCCAAAAAUACAUCCAUGUCAACUCCAGGUUGUGUAGGUCCAGAAAUAAGGAUGGUUAGCAAAAUGUACUUCCGUUUCUGCAUCAACCAUGGAGGAAGGUUGUAUAUGGUGAGGAUCACCGGCCAUGUGCUAUGCUUGCUGCUCCUCUCAGCAAAUGGGUUCAUUCCAUCAGUACUCAGUGCGAACCUAACAUUUCUCGGUUCAUCGGCAAAGUCUCGGUGGUUGUCAUUGAAAUCUUGCCACUGCUUCCCAUCGGCUGGAUGUCGAAGCUUCCCAUCGUUUUUGUGCUCAUCAGAAGCAUGCCAGCUCAUAAGUCUGGCAUCCUCAGGAUUAGCGAACAAACACCUCAAUCGAUCGACGACGGGGAGGUACCACAUCACCAAAGCAGGAAUCUUUUUGAGCGCAUAAUAGUCUACUUCUUCUUUUUCUUUGCUCGUGGAUUUUGAAGUCUUUUUUUGGGCUUUCUUUCGCUUCUUCCCUUUAGACACGGAUGCAACACACUCUUCGUCCUCUCGAUAGUCUUUAUUCGUCUUGUACCUACUUGCACCGCACUUUGGGCAGCUCUCCAAGUCUUUAUAAUCAUCACCUCGAUAAAGGAUACAGUGAUUUCUACACGCGUGGAUCUUCUCCACACCCAUAGUGAGCGGACUGAUUAGUUUCUUUGCAUAGUACGUGUUAGCAGGCACAUUGUUCUCCUUUGGAAGCAUGUCUGCGAUAAUACUCAAGAACGCAUCGAAGCCAGCAUCAGACACACCAUAUUUAGCUUUUAACAUCAACAGCUUUAGCACAGACCGGAGCGUCGUGAACUCUUUGGUACAACCCUUAGACUCGUCGUACAAAGGCUCUUCUGCUGCCUUCUUUAGGGACUCCAUACCUUUCAUUAAGAACAUCGAUUGAUCUGUAUGACGACGCAACAUUGCCUCUAGCAACUCUGCAUCUUCCUCAUCCAUAACACUUGGCAGAACAUGAGGUCUAUCAUGUUCAUUUCCUCCAGCGUAACCAUGAUCAGUAACAUUUUGCACUACAUGUUCGCUCUGUGGGAAGAGGUUGGUGUGUCUCGUGAACGAAUUGAAAUCUGUCGUCGAUGUUCUCAGGGUUUCCAGUCGUAUAAGGCGAAGAGCUACCCUCUCCAUGCUUUGUCCAAAUUGUGUAAUCCUUCAUAAAUCCUCGGCAUACCAGAUGAGAUAUGAUUUGUUCUGUGUCAUUAAAUACAGCAGCAUUUUUGCAGUCCAUGGACAAUAUAUGUGUUUUGUCUUUGUUCUCCAAGCAUGGUUCGUAGCGACAUCAAUAAACCUAUGGACCUCGGAUAUGUAUGAUGGAUCUAGCCUUGAUAAGUUAUACAUCCAGGAUGUCCUCUCCAUCACCACCUGUAAAAAGUAACAUAAAACACAUGGUGAAACCCUAUAUCCAAAAAUGUGGCUAAAAUGUGAAGGACGCGUUGGAGUGCGACAUCUGCUAAAAAGUCAGAUUACCAUGCAUGUAUAUAUACAGUACAUAUUGAUCGGUAGACUCCAGCAUGAUGCUCUGCCCUGUGUAAAAUCAGUGCAAGAACGGGCAUUCUGGAUGUGCAAAGUGCUGCAUCCGCACGGACGGUAAGUGCUGCACCUGCUCCGAGCGCAUUGGCAACAAUAGCUCUCUCUCCCUCUCCCUCUCCUCUCUAGAAAGUCGUGUAAAAUUACAUGCUGCACAUGGAGGAUGAGGAAGAGUCGGGGUUGGAGGAUGAGGAAGAGGCGACUGUGACACUAUCCAUGGAGAAGGACGCGUUGGAGUGCGACAUCUGCUGCCUACCCUUCCAGUCCGAAGUUUUCAUGGCAAGUCAGAUUACCAUGCAUGUAUAUAUACAGUAAAUAUUGAUCGGUAUAUAUACAAAUGUAGUUAGACUACUUUAUCUCUUCCAAUAAAAGUAGUUAAACUACUUUAUCUCUAACACAUGGUGAAACCCUAUAUCCAAAAUGUGGCUAAAAUGGAGGAAAAAUAAACAAAAUUUGGCAAAAGAAACAUAAGCCAAACUUUCCUAGCAACUAAUAAACAAAAAAAAAUUAAUACCCAAACCUAUCUUUAACAUAUGGUGAAAGCCUAGUUUCAAAAUGUAGUUAAAAUUGAGCAAAAAUAAACAAUAACUAACAAUUGAAACAUAAUUAAACUAAUCUUCCAUACAACACAUUCACCAUUCAUUAAGCAACUAAACAUGAAAAAGAGAGGGAAUAGACAAAAACUAACCAUCUUAUGCAACCUCAUUUGAGAAAAUAGAGAAAAUUACCUAUCUAUACUCUUCUCUCUCACAUGUGAAACCCUAGAUCCAAAAUGUGGCUAAAAUUGAGCAAGAAUGAACAAAAAUUGACAAAGAAACAUAAACCAACCUUUCUUAUCCACCUUCUUCCAAGAAAUGAAGACCAAAACCUCCCCCCUUAUAUUUUUGUGAAAUCUGGACCUCCAAAAUCGCCUCCAAUGGAAGCUGGCUGCGAGCAUACAGUUCACUGUCGCGGGGAAGAUGGGUAUUUAUAACAGACAGUUCACUGGCGGUUGGUUUGAAAAACCGCCAGUGGAAACCUAUUUCCACUGGCGGUUAUCUUAACACAACCGCCAGUGUAAAUAGGGUCUUUACACUGGCGGUUCUGUUACACCAACCGCCAGUGGAAAUAGGUUUCCACUGGCGGUUCUGUUACACCAACCGCCAGUGGAAAUACCCUAUUUCCACUGGCGGUUGUGUUAAGAUAACCGCCAGUGAAAAUGGGUUUCCACUGGCGGUUCCUAAGUCGGGUCCACCUUGUUUUUUUUACUGGCGCGUGAUAACUGAAACCGCCAGUGAUAAUUUAUGGGUGCCGCAGGCUUUGAGCUCUUUUCUACUAGUGCUCGCAUGGUGGCGUGGAGACAGGCAGUGCAAUGCAACUCCUACUUCGAUAGAUCGAUCGAUCGAUCAUCUCUAGGCCGGGGCCAGGUGAAGCGCUGGCAUGGCAUGUGGCAUGUGGCAUGCACAGGAGCCUCUACAUCGUUCGCUGGGUAACACCGCAGCAGCAAUGAUUCCAGGAGGUGGAGAGGGAUCGCGUCGGAUCGAGUGAGCGAGGCAGCGUCGGCUCGCUACUCGCUCCAUGUCCCCAUCUCCCUCCAUCCAUGAGCGCGGCGCGGGCGUCAAGGACGACGGACGGUCAGCUUCGCACCGCCGAAACAAGACAAAAGAGUCCAGCCCUACCCCAGUCGUCUACCGCCGUCCAGCUCCCAGCAUGCAUGCUCAUGCUCUCCGCUGUUGGACGUCUGAUCGAGCAGGUGAGCGGUGGCAGCGGCGAUACGGGAGAGGCAACACGGCCGGCCAUGGAGCGGGCUGCCGCAGAGAGCCGGGAGUCGUUUUCAUCGGAGCCGUAGCAGCCAGCAACGCUGAUGUGGCGCCAGAUCGUGGGCGGUGGAGGCGGGACCCGCGAACCGUCCUCUGCUACUUUCCUCUCGUGGGUCCGGCAGCCAGGGAAAACGACCGAAUAUUGGCUGUGUGUUUGGUUGAAAAGUCAAUUAGAAUAUAGCGGUUUUAUUCUAGUUUGUUUAGAAUGAAGUCGUUAUAUUCUCUGUUUGGCAACUAGAACAGAGUCACUAUACUUUUUAUUUGGUUGAAUAGUAAAAUAAAGUGGAACCGCUUCGUUCUUUAUUUGGUAGGAGAGCCAUAUGCGUGUAGAGGGGACAAGAGGAAGGAGAACACUCGUCCCCGAGAGAGCGCUCGCAUCUGACCAUUUUUGUGGAGUGAGAGCACUCCAACUAUUUAUGGUAAAUUUUCAUGGAUACUCUAGGAGCCGCUUUACUCUUUUUUUGUUGGAAACCAAACAUUCAUAAAAAACUAGAAUAGAGCCACUCCAUUCUCCUAUACUCAACCAAACGUAUAAGAGGACUGAGAGCCUCUUUUGAAACUUUGUUUCUUAAAAUCCACCACAAUUUAUUAUAUGGCAUGACAUAUAUAUGAUAUAUUUUAAAUCAGUCCAAUCUAACACAUACUCUUUACAUCCAAAUGAUUUAGUCGUUUUAGGCUUUUCCAUUUGUCCACGAAACUUCGUCGUUGGUCCGUUCGCACAUCUCCACUUUCCCGCAAGUAGGGAUGAAAACGGUUGGGAACGGUCGGUAAAAUACCUCUACCGUUUCCAUUUUCAUAUUUACCUUGCGGGACGAAAACGAAAACGGUAUAUAUCGGUAACGAAAACGAACGGGAUAAAUAGGGGAAUCGAAAACCGAUACGAUCCGGUCGAAUUAAAGCCGAAAUCAGACGGGAAUCGGUAUUUUUUGUUCGGUAAAAUCACACCAUGAAACCAUAUAUUCAAAACUUAACAACAAAUAUAAAAAAUUGUAAACACAAGUAUUAAUUAAACAUAGAUAAAAGCCAUAUAAAUUCGGAGCACACAUAGUUUAAUGUACCACAUAAGUGAUAAGUCUUGGGCUCUUGGCUAACAUAAGAAGCCAUAUAAGUCUACUAGCACACAUGACACAAUAUAAAGUUUAAAACACAUAUUCAUAAUCACUUGCUCACAUCUGGAUCACUUAGCAUGCAUAGACUAUUACAACCAAGGCUCAUCUGCUCACAUCUGUCAACAAACAUAAGACACAUUGCUCAUGGAGAGAAGCCACUUGCUACAUCUUCAUUAUUCUUAGAAAAUUCUAGUGCGUCUUCAUACUGUUAAUGCACAAAAAUAAAUCAAUUUUGGAUAAAUAAAUACAUAUACAACAUGAUAGGUUAGGGACGGGCGACGACGUUGCGUUACGGCUGGGAGCCUGGCUGCCUGGGGCUGGGAGAGACAGUGCUAGGUUAGGUUUUUCUUAGAUGGGCUGGGCCUCAAAGUGCUGUGUGGAUUAGAGAUUUGGAGCAGGCUAUAUUCAAGUGAUCCGGAAUUACAAAAUACGGUAACAAAACGGGAUCAUCCCGAUUAAAAACAGGAUCCCGGUUAAACGGUCGGGAAAACCACUCUACCGUUUCCGUUUACCGUUUUAUAUAUCCCGUUUUCGUUUUUUACAUCGGGUUCGAAAUCAAUCGGGACAAAACUAACAAAAUCGGUUAUACGAUAACGGUCGGUACGAGAUUUUCCCAUCCUACUUUCAUCCCUAGCCGCAAGUCUGUCCCUUCGUUCUGUUAGAAGUCAGUUGUAACGAGUUUGAGAGAAUGACAAAGACUGUUCUUUAUUGAAGGAAAAAUCUGCUUAUAUACAGGCGAAUCAGUGCACCCCCAAGGGGUGUAUCCCUUGGGGAGAAAAUGUUGCACCCCUUAUAGGCAGAAAUAUUGUAACAUAUUUUGUAACACUCCCCCUUGAUCAAUCCAAGUCCAUCUGAUCAUCUAUCAGCUGUUUUCCAAUAUAUUAUCUCCUCAAAAACCAUGUGGGAAAAAUAAUGAGUACACAAUGUCUUUUGGAUUAUGAGUAAAUCUCACUUUGAACUCCAAAAGAAAAUAUGCUUGUAAUCAUCAUGCAUAAAAACCCUGGGGAAAAGUCAAUGAUGAAGCAUAUAGCUUUGUUGAUAUUACAUCGUUAAAACUUUGGAUGAGAAACCUCAGCAAGGCAAAACUCAUACAAAGAAAAGAGUGUAAUAUGAUGGUUCAAAACAGGUCAAAUAUCAUGGAGAAUUAUUCUCCCUAUCUUUGCAAGCACUUAAGUCUUCUCAAACCAAUCCCCUUAACACAUUUAUGGAACGUGGAGAAUGGUAGAGAUUUUGUGAAUAAAUCAGUAAGAUUAUCACAAGACUUUGUUUGCAAGAUGUUUAUAUCUCCAUUUUCCUGAAGCUCAUGGGGAUAAAACAAUUUAGGAGCAAUAUGCUUAUUAAUAUUGCUCUUGAUAUAACAUGUUUCCAUCUGAACAACACAAGCUGAAUUAUCCUCAUAGAUAAUAGUUGGUGAUUCAAUAGAACCAAUACCACAAGUUAUGAGUAUAUAAUUCACCAUUCUACGAAGCCAUACACAUUCACGUGAUGCUUCAAAUAAUGCAAUUAUUUCAGAAUGGUUGGUGGACGUGGUCACCAAAGUCUAUUUAGAAGAUUUCCACGAGAUGGCAGUUUCACCUUGUAAAAAUAUGAAUCCUGUUUGCGAUCUGCCAUUGUGGGGAUCAGAUAAAUAGCCAACAUCAGUAUACCCAAUUAAAAUAGGAUCAUUAUUUCUUUUGUAAAAUAUUCCUUGAUCCUUUGUGCCAUUUAGAUAUUAGAAAAUAUUCUUAAUGCCAACCCAAUGUCGUUUUGUUGGAGCAGAGUUGUGUCUUGCUAUCAAAUUUACUGCAAAAGCAAUAUCUGAUCGGGUAUUGUUAGCAAGGUACAUUAAUGCAGCAACGACACUGAGAUAUGAGAACUUUGGUCCCAAUAUAUGUUCUUCAUCAUCCCUUGGUCUGAACAGAUCUUUCUCUAAGUCCAAAGAUCUGACAACCAUAGGACUCUUUGAAGGAUAAGACAUAUUCAUAUUGAAUUUUUCCAAUACCUUUUGGGUAUAUGUACUUUGAUGUACAAGGAUUACAGAAGGUAAAUGCUCAAGUUGAAGACCUAAGAAAAAUUUGAUUUUACCCAAAUCCUUCAUCUCAAAUUCCAUCGUUAAAUGAUGACGUGCUUCAUGAAUAUCAAGUUUAUUUCCUAUGAUGUUAAGGUCAUCAACAUAAAGUCAUUUUUCGUGUAUCCCUUACGUAAAAGGAAUUCACUCAAUCGGUUGUACCACAUUCUGCCCGAUUGUUUUAAGACAUAUAAUGACUUCAGCAACUUUACGCAAUACAUGUUGCGUUUUGCCUUUGGAUUUGGUACAUCUAUUCCAUCUGGAACUUUCAUGUAAACCCGAGAGUGGAGAGUUGGACGUUGUACGGUCCUGGUGCACUGGACACUGUCGGGUGGCACACCAGACAGUCCGGUGCGCCAGACCAGGACAUACUCAGUUUCUUUGCUCCUUUGAAUUUGAUCCCUAACUUCAAUCUUUUAUUGAUUUGUGUUGAACCUUUAUGCACCUGUAGAAUAUCUAAUCUAGAGCAAACUAGUUAGUACAAUUAUUUGUGUUGGGCAUUCAACCACCAAAAAUAUUUAUAGGAAAAGGCUAAACCCUAUUUCUCUUUCACGCGUGUAUUGGGGGAACGCAUGGACGGACAGAUGGCGGAAUUCCAGCAAGAGCAAGCGUAUCAUGUUCAGGAAUUGAUGGCAACCACUUCCACUCGCGUGGUAGUACUGGAAAACGUGUCUUCCGUGUUUGAGGCAUGGCGACCACGCAUCGAGGGUUCCAUUGACUCCGUCAGGUCUUCAGUCGACACCAUGCCCUCAGAGCUCGCCCAUCUCACUCAGCUCCUGGAGGGCGGCAUGGGUGGAGAUCAUCAAGAACGUCCGAGCCUCCUAGGAGCGUAUGUACCUGUGGUGGAGCGUCCAUCUACGACCGCACACAACUCCAACUGGCCCCACGGGCACCGCAACGCUUAUCAACCUCGGGAGUAUGGAAUUGAGAAUUCCCAAAUUCCAAUCCAUCUCCUAAACAAUGGUAUGCAUACUCCCUACAUUCCCCAUGCUCAUGAUACUGGGCCAAACCGAACGAGUUGGGAUAACCAUCCAUAUACAUCUGAUGCUAUGGGGGUAGUGUUCAGGAACCUAAUCUUACCAAGAAUUUAGGGAACCUACCGAAACUCCAUUUUCCAUCAUUUGACGGUGAGAAUCCCAAGCUGUGGCAAACUAGAUGUGAAGACUACUUUCUUAUGUAUUCGGUGGAUCCUCGCAUGUGGAUCAAGGUUGCUUCUAUGCAAUUUGUGGGACCAGCAGCUAGAUGGCUGCAAUCGAUUGAGUAUUAGUUGGUUCAAAUGUCUUGGGGAGAAUUUGGGCGCCUAAUUCAGAAACGAUUUGGCAAGGACCAAUAUCAAGGGCUCCUUAGACAGUUAUUCCAGAUUAGACAAAAGGGGACAGUAGCUACUUAUGUGGAGGAAUUCUCUCAAUUAAUUGACAAGUUAAAUGCCUACCAAACCAUGUCUGAUCCUUUAUACUAUACAUUAAAAUUUGUGGAUGGCCUUAGAGACGACAUUAAAGCUGUUGUAAUGCUUCAAAGGCCACAAGACUUCGAUACUACUACUGUUAUUGCUCAAUUACAGGAGGAGGCAGGUAUUAUGUUGAGGAAGAAAGACUAUCGAUGGCAUGAAGUUUUAGGAGCUGCCAAGUCUUUAGCUCAUCAACCUGCUCAUCAACAGCUAGUUUCCAAGGAAACAAGACAACAGGGUCCAAUAAGGGUGGAUGAGAAACCUUCAGGGACCAGGGUUUCUUCAUCAAGUACAGAUGAAAGGAUCGAAAAGCUAAAGGUCUACGUUACAAGUGCGGAUUGCAGUAUUCACGUGAUCACAAAUGUUUAGAGACAUUGCAAUUACAUGUCGUGGAGGAAUUAUGGCAAAUGGCACAAGUGUCUGCUACUGAACCUGACACUACUGCACCAAUGGAUGAAGAUGAGUAUGAAAUAAAUGAGUUAACUCUAUCACAGUCAGCGCUCAAUGGGUCUGAAGCUCCUCGCUUCAUGAAAUUUGUGGGACAUAUAGCUGGCAUGGAUAUUCUUGCUUUGCUUGACUCAAGUCAUUCCCAUUCCUUCAUUAGUGUUGCUGUGGCUGCCAAUUUGACAGGAGUUACUUCUAUAGACAGUCCCUUACAAGUGCAAGUGGCAAAUGGGUCACAUCUUUCAUGCCAUCAUCAGUUAGUGAAUGUUGAUUGGUCUAUCAGUGGUGUUUCAUUUUCUUCCACACUAAAAUUAUUAUAAUUAUCCAAUUAUGAACUGAUUGUUGGAAUGGAUUGGUUAGAGAAGCAUAGCCCUAUGUUGAUUCAUUGGUCCCAGAAGUGGCUGACUAUUCCUCUUAAGAAUUCAAUAGUUACCUUACAUGGCAUUAAGUCCUCUGUAAUACAGACAACUGUAGUUCAAGUGUGCAGUCUACAGGAUCCGUCCGACAAAGAACAAGCAGUUUUGGAUGAGUUGCCUGAUGAUAUUACAGCUGUUCUAUUUCAAAACCCUACAGUUUUUGAAGAACCAAAGGGUAUGCCUCCUAUCAGGGAAGGUGACCACCAAAUUUCUUUAAUUCCUGGAGCUAGACCAGUCCAGAUGAGACCUUAUAGGUAUCCUCCUACUCUUAAGAAUGAGAUUGAAGCACAAGUUACAGAAAUGUUGCAGGCUGGAACUAUCUAACACAGUCAUAGUGAGUUUGCAUCUUCUGUCAUAUUGGUGAAGAAGAAAGACAACACAUAUAGAUUUUGUGUUGACUAUCGACAUUUGAAUGCCUUGACAAUCAAGACAAAAUAUCCUUUACCUAUUAUUGAUGAAUUCUUGGAUGAAUUACAUGGAGCAGCAUGGUUCUCUACUCUAGAUUUGAGAGCUGGAUUUCAUCAGAUUCGCAUGCAUCCAGAGGACCAACAUAAGACUGCUUUCCAAACCCAUCAUGGGCAUUUCGAAUUUAAGGUUAUGCCUUUUGGAUUGUCAGGUGCUCCUGCCAUGUUUCAGAGUGCUAUGAAUUCUACUCUGGCUCCAUUACUAAGGAAAUGUGUCCUGGUAUUUUUUUGACGACAUAUUGAUAUACAGUAAAACUUGGGAAGAUCAUAUGCAGCAUGUGGCACAAGUUCUUCACAUAUUAUAUACAGAACAGUGGUUUAUCAAGCUUUCAAAGUGUGCUUUUGCCAAGCAAUAGAUCACAUAUCUUGGUCAUGUUAUCAGUAAGCACGGUGUGGCUACUGAUCCAACAAAAAUAUAAGCGAUCUUGGCCAGUACCUGUGAAUUGCAAGGAGCUUAGAGGAUUCCUCGGCUUGGCAGGGUAUUACAGGAAAUUUGUUAAGAACUUUGGGGUCAUUGCUCGUCCACUUACUGAUUUAUUAAAAAAGGCAGUAGUGUUUGUGUGGACACAAGUGCAUGACACAGCUUUCCAAACACUGAAACAGGCACUUACUUCAGCUCCUAUCCUAGCACUUCCAAAUUUUGAUAAACCCUUUACCAUUGAAAUAGACGCUUCGAGUAAAGGCAUUGUGGCAGUGCUACUGCAGGAUAAUCACCCUUUAUCCUAUGUGAGCAAAGCUUUGGGCGUCAAAAAUCAAGGACUAUCAACAUAUGAAAAGGAGUAUCUUGCAAUUUUGCUAGCAGUAGAAAAGUGCCACCAAUAUCUUUAGACCUCUGAAUUUAUCAUUUAUUCCGACCAUCAAAGUUUAUCACACCUUACUGAGCAGAAAUUGCAACACCUUGGCAGCAACGUGUGUUUCCAAGUUGUUGGGUCUUCAGUAUAAGGUGGUGUGUCGGAAGGGGUCUGACAAUACAGCUGCGGACGCGUUGUCUAGACGCCCGACGUCUGAACUCUUUAGUAUUUCUUCAGCUACUCCCGACUGGUUGCUGCAAGUCUUGGACAAUUAUAGCAGGGAUGACCAAGCUCAGAAGCUAUUAACUGCUUUUGCAGUAAGUCCAGACACUUCAGGACAUUAUACAUUGAAGACAUGACUUAUUCGGUACAAGGGAAGAGUAUGGAUUGGUAAUGAUACAAGUCUCUAGCUUUAGAUUAUUUCAGCCAUGCACGACAGUCCAAUAGGAGACCAUUCCAGAUUUCCUGUGACAUAUCGCCGAAUCAAACAACUCUUUUAUUGGUCAUCAAUGAAUAAUUCAAUAAAGGAUUAUGUGGCUUCUUGCUCUAUUUGCCAACAAUCAAAAUCUGAUCACAGUAAAUAUCCGGGUCUGUUACAACCAUUGCCGGUACCAGACCAAGCUUGGGAUGUGAUAAGUAUGAACUUUGUUGAAGGUCUUCCACGGUAUGCAAAUGCAAACACAAUAUUGGUUGUAGUGGACACCUUCUCUAAAUAUGCUCACUUUAUACCUUUGCUCCAUCCUUAUUCAGCAUUGAAAGUGGCUCAACUAUUUCUUGAUUCAGUCUAUCAGCUCCAUGGCCUUCCUCUUGCCAUUGUGUCCGAUCGGGAUCGAAUAUUUACCAGUCGGUUGUGGCAUGAGCUGUUUAGAUUGGCUGGUACAACAUUGAAGAUGAGUUCCUCGUAUCAUCCACAGACCGACGGGCAAACUGAGCGAGUCAACCAAUGUUUGGAAACCUUCUUACGCAGCUCCGUUCACGCUUGCCCAUCCAAGUGGUUGUCGUGGUUAUUAGUGGCAGAAUACUGGUAUAACACCAGUUUCCAUUCUUCGCUUGGGAGAACCCCAUUUGAUGUAUUGUAUGGACGUUUCCCUAGGCAUCUAGGCCUGGAGAUAUCAGAUGCAUCAACUCAGUUGGAUCUUCAGACUUGGUUGCAACAACGGGAGCUGAUGGUCAAGCUUAUCCGACAGAAUAUGUUGAGGGCUCAACAACGGAUGAAAGCACAGGCCGACAAAGGACGUACAGAAAGAGAAUUUAAAGAAGGUGGCAUGGUAUAUCUCAAGCUACAACUCUAUGUGCAAUCAUCAGUGGCUCGUCAUGCUAAUCACAAGCUAAGUUUCAAGUUCUUCGGUCCAUACAUGGCGCUUCAGCGUGUCGGAAAAGUAGCUUACAAGCUAUAGUUACCAUCUACUUCAACUAUUCACCCAGUGGUUCAUGUCUCCCAACUCAAGCGUUCAGUGGGUGAUCGACCGGUCGGUGCAGUUUUACCAAAUGAUUUGGAACAUCUUCAGGUGCCAUUGCAGGCAAUUGAUCGCAGGGUGGUGGUCAGGGGAGGUAAAUCUGUUCAACAAGUGCUGAUCAAAUGGUCCAACAAUGAUGCAACAUUAGCUACAUGGGAGGAUGAAGAGGCUUUACGAGGCCGAUUUCCAGAAGCAGCCGCUUGGGGACAAGCGGCGAUUCAAGGGGAGGACAAUAUUAGGACCUCAACCAUGAAGAUGCAAGACAAGGACAGUGAGGGGCUGAGUCAAGAAGAAGACGUCGUUCAGAGGCUGGGCCAGUGUGAUAGAAGGCCAAAUCAGCGUGUGUCUGGAGCUGAAUGGGUCCAGUAAGGAAUAGCCGUGGGCUGUGGCCAUGGGCAGUGUAAUGGAAAUAUAAAUACUAGAGUCGUUGAUAGAGAAGGGGAGAAGAAUUUACUAGACUCAUUAUUCCCCAUUUCAUGUUCCUCUGUUCUUCUUCUCCGUUGCCUUCUUCCCGUGUCCGACGAAAGUCACUGGACGCCCAGUUCGCUGACACCUGGGUUCCUGAAAGGGAAAUGUGCCCUUGGGCCAUUUCUAGUAUAUUUUGGUGAUUAAGUGCCCAACACAUAUUGAGUGAGUAACUAUAUGCCAAAUGAUGGAUGAAGUGCAAAUCAACAAGAAGGUAUGAUUCUAGACUUAGUACAUUGGUUUUUGUGUGCUAAUAUAUUUGUAUAAGUGCUAGAAUCAGAGAAAAGAAAAGAAGAGAAGAACUUGGCUCGAAGCAGCCAAGACUCUGCUCAGUCUGGCACACCGGACUGUCCGGUGGUGCACCAGACAGUGUCUGGUGCGCCAGGCUAAACUCUAGCGAACUGGACACUCUCGGGAAUUCAUCGGCGGCGUACGGCUAUAAUUCACCGGACUGUCCGGUGGUGCACCAGACUGUCCGGUGAGCCAACGGCCGCCAGCGCAACGGUCGGCCGCGCAAUCCGCGCGUGACGCGUGGCCCACGCCAACGGUCGGCUGGGGGCAUCGGACUGUCCGGUGUGCACCGGACAGUGUCCGGUGCGCCAACUAGCCCGAAGAUCCAACGGUCGGCUGCGCCAGGAAUGGAAGGAGAUCCGCACCGGACAAUGAACAGUGGAUGUCCGGUGGUGCACCGGACUGUCCGGUGCGCCACCCGACUGUAAAGCUCAAAAAUCGGUAUAAGAGAAAAAUAAUAAAAUAAAUAAAUAAAUAUAUUUAUAUGUUAGUCUUUUGGUAAUUAAGGAACCUUUGGAGAUUAUUUGGUUUUAUUUUCAUUAUGCAUAUUCAAUUAAUGGAAUUAAGGUAGUCAAAUAACAAAUAAAUAAAUACGAAAAUAUGCAUUUUAUGAUGAAGUUCUUGUAUUUUUGCACUGGCAUUCAAACUUGUGAGACAAGUUUAAUUAUAAAAAAUUUGAAUUUGAAUUAAGGAAUGAGAAAAGAAAAGAGAAGAGAAGGAAAAGAAUAUACAUGAAUAAAUAUACUCCUUCAUGUUAGUACUUUUAUGAACUUGAUUACUAUGUGAAAUCCCCAACCUAAAUUUGAAUUCAAAUAUUGGAUUUUGAAAUUUAGGAAGAAGUUCAAAUCUGAAAUCCAAAAAAAAAAAUAAAAAAAUAAAAAAGGAAACCAGCGCGUCAUGGGCCGUUUCCUCCCCUUCUGGCCCAUUUACCCCUGUUCACCACCACGCUGCCCACCCUGGCGCACAGCUCCGCUCUCUAGUUCACCGCCAUGCGGGCCAUCUUGGUCAGCUCUAUCCCCUCCGUCUCCUUGUAACGAGCCACCGAAAUCGUAGCCGCCGGGAUCGGCUAGUCCGUUGGGAUUUGGUGCGCGUCCAAGAGAUAUAGUCUGAGCUCCCUCCGGCGUCCGGGCUCCUCCGUUGUGCCUCUGCUCCCUGGCUCGACAGUGCCCAGGUUUCCACCAUCCGAUUCCGCUGCGCGCUCACCUCUCCGGCGUUCGGUGCCUGACCAACGGGUCCGCUUGACGUCUCACCAGCCGAGGGCCAUGGCCACAUCGCCUUGAAGCUUCUUCGGCCACAGCGAACUCGCCCUCUUCCUCCAUCGAUUUCUACCAGACCUCGAUGGGAGCUCGGAACUGAGCACUGGGCGCAAUGUGGUGGGCGAUACGGCGAAGCGAAUCUCGCGGAUGCCGUGGCCAACAGGGCGGACUCCAACCAAAUCAACCGAUCUCCACGCGCGCGAUUCUAGAGAUCAAGUCAAAUCUGGAUUGCACUCGCACCAUAAAACCCAGCCCCUCCCAUCAACCGAGCCACCAUCGCCAUGAGAGCAAGAGAGAGAGGGGGAUCGGGUCGUCGAGAGAGGAAAAGCGUGAUGCGUCCGCCGCGGGGAGAAAAACUUCGAUUCACCACUUUCGAGCUCUGCGGUGCGGGUCUGGUAGUCUCGCCAGAGCAUUAUUAUGGCGUUCAUGGGCCCUUGGUGCUCAAUGGCGGCGUGAGCUCAAGGGAAUCCCUCACCGGCGCUCUGUUCAUGUCGCAGACCCGCCCCUAACCGUGGACGAGCUCGCUACUCCUUCAAUCGCGGGUACGAAUCUCCCUUCCGUGCUCGCCAUCACCCCGUCUAGGUUUAGCACCGGCAAAUUUCAGGUUAGGGGCGUCCGGGCGUCGGCGUGCCGUCCACCGGCGAUGCUCCGCCGCUGGCAGCCCUGUGCGCCGCCAUUGUAUGACUAGAGAUGGGGGAAAGGGCUUUCGGCCGUUAGAUAAGCGAUCGGCGGCCACGAUUAGAUGUUGGAUACCGGUUCGAUCAGGUCCGUCGAUCUGGAUCUGACGGGCAGAGUUAGAUUUAGGGUAAUAAAACCCGCACCGUGGAUCCUGGAUCCAACGGUAGGAUUUGCAUACCGAUUCGGAUGAGAACUUGGUUUAAUCUGGAUCGCUCACGCUUGAUCGGCGGCGGUGAGCGCAUCGUACCCCUUCGCGGGUCAAUUUUGCUAAAGAACCCCCGCGAGAGUAAAGAAUCAACCCGCAGUCCUGUCUGCGUGAUUCUGUGUCUCGGUUUAUUUGCGCCAGGGCCCCUGCACUCUCUAAAAAUAGUGCGCCCAGUCCAGAGAUCGUUUAAAUCGAAUAAAUGAAUAGAAAAUGGAUUUUUAACAUGAAAAUAAUUACUAGAACUUGUUUAAUUCAUAGAAAAUUCCUUUUAACUCCAAAUUGAGUCAUUCCAGUUGCAAUAAUUUUGUAUUAAUAUUGUUUAUCAUUUAGUGCCACUGUUUGGACAUAAAAGUCAUAUUAAAAUUGAUAUCCUAACUAAUCUUGUACAAAGCACCUAGAAUCGUUGGAAAUCCAUAACUUAAAAUCUACAACUCCAAAAUUAAUAAUUCUUUUUCCUGUGAUCUUAUUUAAUAUGUAGAUUAUUAAUAUGUAUUUUGCAUAUAUGUUUGUUGUGAUGUUAAAUUUUUCUAUACCAUGUUUGUUUGUAUUGCUAUGAUUAGCAGCGAGGUUACGAAUCUUGAAGAUCAUCCUGAUACCUGGAAUCUCAAGUCCCAGGCAAGUUGUGCCCUUGAUCACUUCUUUUUACCCACUCAUGUUCUAAUUAAUCAUAAUGAUCUGCAUAUGUUAAUUUUGAUGGGACCUAAUAGGUUACCCUAGUUUGUCUAUCUUUAUGCCUUGUUUACCACUGAACUUUUUGGGUAGUACUUGCUAGUGCUAUAUGUGGUUUUGGGCAUUGAGAUACACAUUAUUCAUGAUUAUACUUUUGUUAUCCGUUGUUAUUUACUGUUCAUGUCAAGAUCAUUAAUGUUAAUUGGAACAUAGAGCUUAACUUGAGAAACACGUGCCACCACAAGGGUUUAUGGACGCCCUUGGCUGAUUAAUUAGGAAAGCUAGUGGAGGACUACCUUACCCGAAAGGGGCAAGGGCAGUAGGGGAGUGGUCAGUGUAGGGAGGUCCUUGCUUGAUUUUGCUGCGAUGGCGGUCAGGCAAGAACCCUGCAUUGGAGCUUCCUAUAAACUGUAGCGGGUUUUCUGAGUGAGACUUGGUCCCAGCAAACCUGGUGAUUAUGUUCGCGCUCGGGCUUUGGGCCCCUAAAACCCGGGUGUGACACCGACAGAAGGCAAGAAUUGCCUUCCAAGAAUGCCUCCAACGGCUCCUAGCUGCCUUGGGGCUAUAAAAGGGACCCUAGGCGCAUGGAGGAGAUAUCCAAGCAUUCGUUGAUCAUCUCUAAGCACCAAGACUCCAUUCUCGCGCAUUCGAUUCUUUGAGAUAGUGACUUGAGCACCAUUUGAGUAGAGAACUCCUCGAGUCGUGUUGUGAGCUCAAGUUGUGGCUUUGUGUGCGUGAUUGUGCUCGUGCUUUGAGUCUUGUGUGUGUUGCUCUUCCCACCCUUACUUCCGUGCUUCUUUGUGAUCAUCAAUUGUAAGGGCGAGAGGCUCCAAGUUGUGGAGAUUCCUCGCAAACGGGAAAGAGUAUAAGAAAGAAAACAACCGUGGUAUUCAAGUGGAUCAUUGGAUCACUUGGAAGGGAUUGAGUGCAACCCUCGUCCAUUAGGACGCCACAACGUGGAGUAGGCAUGUGUUACUUGGCCGAACCACGGGAUAAAUCAUCGUGUCUCUUGUGCUUGCUUUCUUUGUGAUCAUUGUGUUUUACAAGAGCUCGGUCCUUAGCCACUUAAUUCCAUUGUGCUAACACUUAACCAAGUUUUGUGGCUAUAAGUUUAAGUUUUUACAGGAUCACCUAUUCACCCCCCUCUAGGUGCUCUCAAUUGGUAUCAGAGUCAUUCUCUUCACGCAAGGGACUAAUCGCCCGAAGAGAUGGAUCCUAAGGGAAAGGGGAUGGUGGUCAAUGACAAGACAAAGGAGUCCAUCGUCAAUGAGCCAAGAGAUGAUAAGCCCUCGGACUCUGGCUCGAGUCAUAAGAAAAGAGAUGGGAAGAAGAAGAGGCGCAUCAAGAAGAUCGUCUACUACGACAGCGAUGAGUCUUCUUCUUCCCCAAGAGGCGACGGCGACG